rnacentral:lncRNA from 1 species
AAUAUUUUUUUUAAUUUUAUUAUUACAUUUUACAUUUUACAUUUUACCUUUCCCUUUCCCUUUCCCCUCCCCAUUUCCCCAACCCCGUUAAAAUUUUAGACAGAAAUCCCCUUCCCUUCCUUCCUCCCUUUUUUUCCCCAAAUUGAAAACCCACCUACAGUCCCCACCGAUCCACCAUCCCACCUCCGGUCUCCGGUCCUCCAGCACUCCACCUCCACUCCACGACACUAGGUGGCUGUUCUCUUCACUUCGAUUCUUCUGCAACUUCCGAGUCCGACCCAAACCCUUCAAAUCAACAAGUUCAAGCCUUCAAGGUAACUUCUUUCUAUUCUUCUUCACUUUAGUUUUCAUUUUAAUCAUGUAUUUAAGACUUAAGAGAAGGCUGCUCUUUAUUGCUGAGUUUAGUGACGGUGACAUGCUUCGAUUUUUAAUAUACUGUUGCCAUGUUCUCUUUGAACUUUGAAGUUUGAAGUCAUUUGCUAGUGCUUUUCAUUUUCCAGAUUUUGAAGUCAUUUUAAUAUAUUUGAAGUCAUUUUGAAGGUAAUUCAUUUUCCAGACUUUGGCAUGUCAUUUUCCAGAUUUUGGCAUGUCAUUUUCCCGAUUUUAUUUUAUUUCCAGAAAAACUGUUUACAUGUAUGAGUAGUAAAUAUUUCUUGUCAUCCAUUUUCUUGGUCAACAUACGGGAAUUUGAUCUUAAAGAUCCUUAAGAUUAAAAUACGAAUGAAGUUAGGUUUACAUGGUCAUGUUUUUGCAAAGUCAAAAUUUCAUCUGCUUUUCUUUUUGGUUUGAUCUGUUUUUUGGUUGGUGAGAAAGUGAAUGAGAAGUUGCUGAAAAUGAAUUGAAUUGAAUUUGUUGGUUGAUGUAAAAUGAAUUGAAAAUGAACUGUGGCGGGGUUUUGUUUUUCGUAGAGUUUCGGUUAGUAAAAAUACAUUUUGUAAGCUCAUAAGAGAAAUAGGACUUUGAUAAUGAAAUGAUUUUGAUACGUCUAAGAACAUGUUCAUUACUGGUCCAAAAAAAACAAACCACCAACCCUCUGUAGCAGUCAUGACAAUCCCAGUACCAGCUCUUUGAAAAAUCGAGUCUUUUAUUGUAGCAAAGGUCGUUUAACUGGCAUUCACAUGGGUCUAAUUAUUUGACAGUUUUUUGCAGCUUCAAACUUACAAGCAAUAGUAGUGCUUAUUGCCCAAUUGAUAAUAUGCUGCUAGUCCUUAUUACUUGUAUAAUCAUUUUUAUUUUUAUUCUCUUUUUUUAAGAAUUGAUUGUUAGUUUGUUACCUAAAUGUCACAAAUGUGUAAUUAUAGACAAUUAAAUAACAUUUAAAUUCAAUUAGUUGGUAAUUUUUUAAACUUACAGUGUAUUAGUUUAGUGUAAUGCUACAUCAACUCUAACAUAAAGUUUAUAGAUAACAUGAUGAAAGCUAUUAUUUUAAAUUUUUUUCAUUAUAUACAAAAAAAAUAUAAUUUGAUAUAACUUUAAUAAAAAUUAGUUUUAACUUCUAAGUAAAAAAAAAAAAUGGGCCGGGCCGGGCUCGGGCUUCAUAUUUUUUCCACGGGCCGGGCCUGGUCUACAUCUCAGGCCCAUAUUUCGGGCCAGGCCGGGCCGGGCCUGGGCCUAGUAAGCGGGCCGAAAAAUUUUUUGGGCCCGGCUUGGCCCAUGAGCACCUCUAGUUGGAGUUCUCCAUCCUUAGAUAUUUGACCAUCUUUUAUCGGGAAGGUUAGAGUCUCAACUCUUCAAACAAUGGAGAUAUUGUGCCAAAGCAUUUAUGCUCGAUUUUAUUUUAAAGUUUUAUCUCUUGAUUUUAUAGAGAGUUAAAUUAGAUUCAUAGAGUUUAAAAAGUAUCUCAUCUAUGAAAACAAAUACACAUUAUGUCUUUAUUGAAAAAAUUAAUUAGUAAUAACAUAUCAACAAAAAAUUUUCAAAGUUUUUCUAUAUAUUUUGAUAAAUCCCGAAAGAGAAAACAGGUCAGGGAUUUCCUUUCCCCCUCUGAAAAUCACCUAGCAUUUACUCUAAAGAUGGCUAAAAAGGUUAAGAAUAUUAACCUUUCAUUGGAUGAGAUUACUGAUCGGGACUCCAAAUUUGAGCUCCAAUUAUGAAGACUUUAAAAUACGACGGCUUCAGUAUUUAGUGGAGUAGGCGGAGGCACCAACUCCUUCCUUGACUCAUCACAAGUUGUUGGAAGGGAGGCUGAUGUCUUAAAUGUAGUUGAUCUCCAGAUUAGCUCUGCUACUAUAACACCCCAACUCGAAACUGGAAUGUCAUAUUAGUUACCGAAGUGACUCUUCGAUAACACCAUUGAACCUCCAAAACACCACAUGCAAACAAAUUUAUAACUUAACAUGCAGUGGAAAAGUCAUGCAAUGGACUAAGGUAUGAAAACUCAGAUUUCGUUCUUAGGGUUCGCCCCUAAGGGGGUUCACAGUUUCUUACUUCGUAACAUUGUUUCGCACUAAAAACAGGUAGGCUAAGAAUAGACUACGCGAACUAUACCUCGCUGACCGAACCUUGCAAACCAUACCCUACAAAGUAUAAUGUCAGCAAACCCUAGUGUGAAUGCAACUAUUUAAUUUCUCCAACAAAACCAGUUUUAUGGGCAGACGUUAAGUAAAAUAUCUAAAGUUUAAAACAAGACUAGGUUUAUUGAUAAGGCUCACACCUUGCAUAGCUCUCGGGAAAGUAAGAAAAUGGUGUAUUUUUAGUGAAUACUUUAAAAGCUCAGCAAACUUUCGAUUGCGAUCUAUCCAGUCUUGGAGGGGUUCUCGCGAACCCAUCUGAUACGCGAGCUGGUAUAGAAGAAGGUUGGUUAAGUAAAAUUCAAGCUGCGAGUUGGUGCGAUUUCGGCUUUGUAUAAAACAACUUAUGGUGUUAAAAGUCUUCAUUAGUCACGAAAUAUGGUUGCUAGGAUUAUUAAAACAUGGGCAAAUACCUUUUGUUUAAAAAAAAAAAACAUUACAUCAGUGUUUCUAUCUUAUGUAAACUUUUAAAUGGGAAAGCAAAAAGGGAAUUCGUAGAUACCCGAUAUUACGAGUGAGCAAAACUCGAUUCGACUCGAAAAAUUCAAAAAAAAUUCGAAUUUUGAGUCAAACGAAUCGAGUUAUUCGAAUCAACUCGAAUUUUUUUUUCUAAAUUUCGAGUUCGAAUCGAGUUAAGUUUUCGAAUUCGAAUAACUCGAAUAACUCAAAUAAUUUGAAUAAUUCGAAUAAUUCGAAUAUCAAAUUAUAAUAUUUUACAUUUUUACCCUAAACUCUCAAACCUUUUUACUUUUCAAUCAAAACUUUUACUCCUUCCCACUUUUCCCCCAAAACUUUUACUCCCCUCUCCUCCUAACCCCCCAAUCUACCCAAAAUCCAUUUCCCACCAAAAUUUUACUCUCCCAUUUACUUUUUCUCAAAAUUUUACUCCCAAAAACUCUCAAAACCUUUUAUUUUCCCCCAAAAUUUUUACUCCCUCCCACUUUUCCCCUAAAACUUCUAUUCUCUUUCCAUCCCACCUCCCACCUCCCACCUCCCACCUCCCAUCUCCCACUUACCCCAAACCCUCCCCUCUCCAAAAUUUUUUUAAUAUUUUCCCUCCAAAAUUUUACUCUCCCCUAUUUACUUUCCCUCAAAUUUUUAUUCCCCAAAACUUUUUAUUUUCCCCCUAAACUUUUACUUCUCACCUUUUACUAUCAAAUAAAAAAUCACUAAACAUAAAUAGUAAUAAUUUUAUUUCUAUCUACUAUUUAUAUUAUUAAAUUAAAUUAAAUUUCAUAUUUCAUAUUUUAUAUUAUUUAUAUUAUUGAAUUGUUUAGUCAUAUUGAAUAUUUAUAUUAAAAAUUGAAUUAUUAAUUAUGCCAUAAAAUAUUCGUGUUAAAAUUUUAUAUUGGUAUCAAUGUCACAUUUUAUUUUUAAAAUAACUUUUAUUAAAAAGUCAUAUUUUUACAUUUAAUAUAUUUUUUAAUUCCAAAAUACAUGGUGACAAGAAUCAGAAGAUAAUUGAAACAACUAAGCAAGCAAAGAAGCUAACCAGUAUAUAAAAAUUAAUAAAUAAAUUAUGAGGUGAUGAAAGUUAAUAAAAAAUUUGAUUAAGGUGGACAAUUUUUAUUACGAUGGGUGACAGUGGUUACAAGGACCCAAAAUUAUCUUUUAAAAUUUAACUCGAACAAAUAUAUUUGAUUCGAUUCGAUUCAAAUUCUAUCUCACUCGACUCGAUUUGAGAAAAUUUCAAAUCAAAUUAGGAUGAUAAAAUAUGAUUUGUCAACUCGGUUAACUCGAAAUUUUUUUAUUCGAUUCGAUUCGAUUCGAUUUGAUUCGAUCGAACGUUCACCCCUACCCGAUAUAAUUUAAGGAAAUAAUAAAAUAUAUUUUUACAUCCAGGACAGAUUAUGGCCCAUAUUGCCUCUAUGUUUCAAAAGUCAACCUUUCUAAGUACCCAAGAAAAUAUGCCAGAUCUCUAGCUCGGCCGUGUUACCUCACCCAAUUCUACCUAUCUUAAAUAUUUUAAAGAGUGUGAGAGUUCACAACUGAGUGAAUGAACAGAAAAACCGUACAAAUACAUAAGUUAAAUGAGAGCUUUAUCAAGGUUAUUGUUCCGCGAACUGGGUUCGCCAUAUUACAGAAAUUUUGGUUCACGGAUACACAAUAUUAGUUAGUAUAGAUGAGUAAAACAUAAUAUUUUAAAACAAAACAGAAUCUUGUAGACAUGAUUUUUUGUUGGAUAAUCGAAUCUCCUUAUAACACCUCAGAAUGACUCAAUGAGUUUGGCAUAUCCCAUAAGUGUUGCGCUAAGCUAACACUCUCCAUCACACUAUCAUAUCCUAUUGAAUGAAGCUUAGCUCAUUAUUUCUUUAUUUCUCCUAACUUGUCCUAGGGCCUAUCACCCAAAUCACAACUCAAACAGAAAAAUGAAGCAAUAGGACAAGGCUCCAAGGUGUUUAUCAAGCCAUUAUCUUUAAGGUUCUAUUUGUCCCUACCUAUACUUAGUGUACGAAUGAGUUUUAAGCAAAUGAACCUCGAGAAUACAAGUAAGCCUGGCGACUAUUUGCGUUUUGCACUAAUGAAAACAAUCCACUAAGCAUUGAACAGAGUAUAACAAGAAAAUCAAUUUCUAUAAAGAAUUUUUGCAACAAUUCUUUACAGAACAAUCUAAUAAUAGUAGAAGAUGGAGGAAGGAUAGAAAGAACUUUUGAGAAUUUUUUGGUAUGCCUUCCAAAUGAAAUCUCACUCCUAUCUAUAGGAACUCUCAUGUCUCUUCAUAGAGACAUAACUUUUAAUAGGUGCCUUUUCUAAAUAGUCACAUCUUUAAAACAGACAUAAUUGUUCAACUAAUAUCUCAUAACUAUUCAAGUAAUAUUACUUGUGUAACACUCCUAGCUCGUAUCUGUCGACGUAUUAGGGCUACGGAGUGUUACCAGAGCAUAAUGUCAUACAAUGAAAAAUUUAUUACCAUAACAGUUCACAAGUUAAGUCAUAGCAACACUAGUCAAAAACAAACAUACGGUCCCUUUUAUGAGCCUUCGAGGCCCUAAAAAGACAUUAGAAACGAUUCAGGACUAAAUUGGAAACAUAUUAAAUUUUUCAGAAAAAGGAAAAAUUUUUCAAACUACAGGGGUCACAUGGCCGUGUGACUCACAUGGCCAAGAGACACACCCAUGUCUUAGGCCGUGUGGACAUUUGAAAUAGGGACACAUGGCCGUGUCCUAGCCCGUGUCUGCACCCGUGUAACUCACUGACUUGGGUCACAUGGCCAAGCCACACGCCCGUGUGCCAGGCCAUGUGCUAGGUCGUGUAACAGUCUAACUUGCAACCGUUUGAAAGCUACAGGGGACAUAUGGCCGUGUGUCAUACACGAUUGAGACAUACGCCUAAGUCUUUUUUCGUUUGGACAAAAAAUAGGUCAUUUCCAAGCCAUUUUUCUCACCCAAACUCACACCUAAUGAACAAGCCAUUUGCACCUAAAAUAAAACAUUCAAAACACACUUUACAUAUGCAUAUGCAAGCUUACACAAGAUAGAAACUAUCCAUUCAACCAAUAUGUCGAAAUGGCACCUCAAUUUCAACAAUCAAAAUUAUCUAAACACCUAACCAAUUCCUUCACUAAUUAAAUUAUCAAUUGAACAAAUUCACUAUCACAUUUUUCAUAAUGAUCAUAUACCAAAAACUCAUGUACAACAAAUACAAAAUGACCAUUUUCCCGACUAACAUAUACCAUACCAAUUUGAGCAAAAGAUGAUCACUUUUAAACUACCAAAACUAGCUAUUUUCAAAAUCAUGAUACAUUUAUUCCACACCAACCAUUUAUUGUUACUAUACCAUUUCCAUCAACAUUUCCUUACCAUCAUCUUAACCAACACAACAUCAACUUAACAACCACACAAAAUACCAUAUAAUCUUAAUACCAUACCAACUAAUUCCUCAACCAAGAUAACAAAUAUAUAAGCCACACAUAAUGACUAAAUUCACUAAACAAAACAACUAUACAUGCCAUUAUAACCAUGACUUAGAAUCAUCAAAAUAUACCGAUAUAACAGAUGGAUAGUGUGAUGGAUCUCUGCCAACUUCCAAUCUGAACGAGCUUCUGAUUAUCUAGAAACACAAAGGAAAAUAACACAAAGUAAGUAUACAAUGCUUAAUAAGUUCGUAAUUCAUAAACAAAGCUUACCAUUUCAAUUUAUAAGCAUAAAAACAAUUUGAGACAAUCCAACAUGACUUGGCAUUAGCCUAAGCAAAAACAACCUUUCAAGUUAGAUAAUCACAUAGCUUAGCAAUUCAUCUCAAAACAUUAUAGCUUUUAUACAUACUACUUAUAAGCAUUCAUAUUUUCAAGCAUAUGGCUAAGCAUUUUUCAAACAUCAUCAGCUCAUAUCUUUUCAUACUUUCAUAGUAUCACUUAUUGAAGCAUUUGUCGAAUCUUCCCUCUUUAAUACCAGUUGAACCACUAGAAUAAUAUUGGAUACGCGAGAAUCUCAUACACUAUGUGCCAACAUGUGGUCGAAACCACUACUAUCUCAUAUCUCGUAUCAAUGCUCUUUCUCGAUCCAUAAAAGGGUUUGCUCACACAAGCUGUUAGUCAAGAUGUAGCUACACUGUGCUGCUCACACAAUAUUUCAAGUAACUGCAACACAUGCCAUAAAAUUAGCCACCGGUAGGAUGUACAAGAUCAACACCCAAAAUAACGUAACCCCUAAUGACAUGUUAUUUGUAUCCUAUAUAUUCCUAAGGUUCAAACAGGAUCCGAAAGUUGUCGAAACUUCGUUGGAUAUUUUUGUAGAGUCGAAACAUCGAUAUAUAACAUAAAAGCAUUUAAUUCGAACAUAAUUCAAUGCUAUUUAAAUUAACGAACUUACCUCAAACACAAAUGGAAAAAUAUGAUUGAUUAAUCUAAUACUUUUUAUUUUCCCCGAUCUAAAUCCGUACAUUGCUUUUCUUGAUCUAUAUAAUCAAAUUUAACUCAUUCAAAAUUCAUUCCAUUCAAUUUAAUCCAAAAAUCAAAAUUUGGUAAAAUCACACUUUUGCCCUUAAUUUUUUUUAAUUCACUUCAAUUUAGUCCCUAGCUCAUAAAAUGUAAAUUCAUGCAAUUUAGUCCAAACCCAUGCUAGCCGAAUAUUAAUUUAGUCCGUAGCAAGCCCUAUAUUCCAUUUAUUUAUCAUUUUUACCAUGAACAUGUUUCUAUUUUUCAAUUAAAUACUUAAAUGAAAAAUUCAUAAAAAAAUUCCUUUACAAAAUUUUCUCAACCAUCAUCAAAUAUUCAUUUUCAUCCAUCAAAAAUAAAAAAAACAAUAUACAUUCAUGGUAACACCCUAGACUUUUAACAAUUUUGCAAUUUAAUUCUCGGGCUAGCUAGAUAAGCUACAACGACUCUAAAAACAUAGAAGUAAUUAAAAAUGGGACAAUGUAUCACUCACAUGCAAGGAUGAACUAUGGCCGAACCUUGAAGCUUCAAAUAUGGAUUUUAUUUUGGUUAAAAAUUGGUGGUAGAGAAGAAAGAACAAAGAUGAUAUCUUUAUUUUAAUUAUUUUUACUAUUUUGUAUUUAUUAAAUUACUAAAUUAACCUUAAUUAAUAACCUUGAAAAUCACCUAAAAAGUGUCCAUACUUGUCCACUCACAUUAUGGAUGGUUUAAUUACAACAUAAACCCUCCAACCUUUUAUUAUGAAAGCUAUUUAACCCUUUUAGCUUAUAAAAUUCAAGUUUUGCACCUUUUGUAAAUUAAUCCUUUUUAUCAAAUUAAACAAGCAAACAAUAAAAUUUCUUGACGAAAUUUUUAUAUGACACUACUAACAUGAUAUAGACGUUAAAAUCAUAAUAAAAUAAAAAUUUUGAUGUCAGAUUUGUGGUAUCAAAAUCACUAUUUCGAUUUUAUUAAAAACGAGCUGUUACAACUUGUAUAGUUAUAAUUCUUUGUCAAAUAUGAAAUGAUAUAACGCUUAUCAAUAACCCAAAGAUAUUAUACCCUUUCAUUUAUAGCUAUUGGAAUACUAUAAAUAUUUGAAAAUGUUCCAACAAUUUCCCUUAUUUUCAAAAUAUUCUAGAUUUUCAUAAUCUUGGAAAUCAAUUUGCAUAAAUGAAGGUGUCUUACGAUUUAACCUUCAUUUAGUGAAAACAUGUUAAAGUUAAUCAAAAUUGCAUGGUAGACUAAGAUUUGAACCAGUUAUUCCAUUUGAUUAACUGAACACAUCUCACACAAUGAUUUCAACACCAAUCAAUGCAUAGUAUCUAGGGACACUAUUAUGGCCAUGUGCAUGUGUCCUCUUUUCAUGAAUCUUGUUAGAGCCAAGCCCUUGAGCUCUUAGAAGCGACCACACUUCGCAAUCACAUAAGUAGAUACCAUCAAGAGUGUCUUUGUAAUUAUAACACUCUAACUUAUUUAUGUUAUGGGUCUAUUAAGAGUAGAUUACUCAUCCUCCCCUUAUCAUUAUGGGUACCUAGCACUUUAAUCUUAGGAUAAAUUUAUUUAUAGUGCUAGCAGUCAUAUACUAAAGAUGUACUUUGUCUCAUUGAACUCAAGACUUGACAGUAUACCAAGUGUUGAGUCAAGUUUUCAUCACAAGUGACUCUAAUUAAUAGGCUUAAGUCCCAUCUAUUUUAAGGUAUUGUUGACUAUAUCUCUAGCAAUACGUUUUGUCAAAGGAUCUGCCAAAUUUUCACUUAACCUCACAUAAUUAAUAGUGAUUACUUCAUUAGAGAUUAAUUGUUGUACAUAGUUAUGUCUUAAUCCAAUGAGUCUAGACUUUCCAUUAUAUACUUGCUAUAUACCUUUUCCAGAGUAGCCUUACUAUCAGAGUGGAUAGAAUUAGGUGAAAUUGGUUUUGGCCAUAGAGGUACAUCAUAAAGCAGAUUUCUUAACCAUUCAGCUGCUUUAGAUGCAACAACUAAUGUAAUAAAUUUAGCUGUCAUAGUGGAAUCAAUAAUAUAUGUAUUUUUCUUGGAACCCUAAGAAAUGACACCUCCACUAAGAAUGAAGAUCCAUCCACUAGUAGAAGCACGAUCUUCCAAACUUGUAAUCCAACUAGCAUCCGAAUACCUUUCCAAAACUAAAGGAUAUCCAUUAUAACACAACCUAUAGUUAAUAGUUUUCUUUAAGUACCUAAGUACUCUACUCAAAUCUUUCUAAUGCAAAAUACUUGGAUUACUUGUGUACCUACUCAAUUUCCCAACAACAUAUGCAAUAUCUAGUAUUGUACAAGUCAUUAUGUACAUGAGACAACCAAUUAGACUUGCAUAUUUCAAUUGAUCAAUUUUCUUACCAGAAUUAGAUGUUAAUUUUAUUUGAGGAUUCAUGGGUGUACAUGAUGGUAUACAAUUGAAAAGAUCAAAUUGUUUAAACACUUUUUUAAUGUUAUGUGAUUGUGAUAAAGCUAUAGUGCUUUCCUCUUGGGCUAUUUUAAUCCCAAGAAUAACAUCUGUUACACUCAUAUCUUUCAUAGCAAAGUUGCUUGACAAUAAUUUCUUUGUGUUUUCUACUUGUUCCAAAUUCAUGCCAAAUAUGAGCAUGUCAUCUACAUAUAAGCAAAUUACGAGACAUUUUCCAUUUUCAAAAUUUCUAUAUACGUACUUAUUUUUGGAAAAAAUCUGAUUUAAAAUAGUUUCCUUACACAAUGAAAAAUUAAAAUUUUAAAAACCAAGUCAGUUUGUGAUAUUUAUAGUAAUAAACUUUACUCGAAAUCGCACUUGUGUUUUUGGGUAGACGGAUUCUUGUUGUUCCUGACUUUCAAUUGAGCGACCUUCUUCAGUAUUCACAUGCCAUGAACUACUUUGAGUGUGGGCUCGAACGAAUUUGAACCAAACACAAAAACCAAAAAUUAUUUACUUUACUUUUAGUAGGAAAACAAAUCUCUCUUCAAUGGAAAUUUUUAGAAUUGUUAUUCUAGAAAAUAGAAUUUAUACUUGGAAAUAAAUUCUCACUAUUUGGGUAGAAUAAAAAUAUCUCAAAGUUGUGUAAAAAUUAUUUUGUAUUUAGCCCUACUGGUUCCAUCUAUUUUUAGGGAGAAAAAGCAAAACCCUUGUUGAAUUAGUAGAAAUCCAUUUCAAUAGAAAAACCAAGUCCUAGUCCAGUUAGGAGAGAUAGGGGUGACAACCCAAGUUAAAUAUACUAGGUUUUGUUGUCCCAUGUAUUAGCAUGAUCGGCUUUGGGAUCUCUCUCGUAUUGGUUCCAAUUAUAAUUGCUUCUCGGACAUUUAACCUAACAUUUUAUAAUUCAAUCCAACCAAUACAUGUUUUUCUAUAUUCCAAAAUAAAUAUCAUAAAUUAAUUUAAAUUAAUAAAUUGAUUUUUGAAUUAAAUAAUUUUCUCAAACCGAUUCUAAUUCCGUUAAAAUUAUAACAAAUUUACCGUAAAAGAAUCUAUGAGAAAAUAUAUUUAAUAUUUCUACAUUCAACGGAUUCACUAUGACCAAUUAAUCUCAUUCCAUUUUCAAACUUUAAUUAUUUAAUAAAUUAAUUGAAUAAUAAUUAGAAAAACCAUAAACUAAUUUUUCAAGCCAUUUCCAUUUACUGAGAAAAUCACAUUCAUUUUCGAAUGUUUUCCAUUUCUCCAACUUUGCCAUUUCUGUUAAUUUGAUUCAACAUGCAAUUCUUUUAUGGUUUCAACAAGCUAGCAGAGGGACCGAUUGGACAUAUGCGAUUAGUGCUCAAAUGAUUAGAAUUAAGUUCCAGUUUUUCGCCUACUAAUUAUGAACUCAUUUGGUCACAAAAUCAUUCCACUAUAGUAUCGUGACAGAGUUCUCCCUAAUGGCAUACCAUUACGAAAGAAACUCGAUCAAUGCUCGUCCAAUGACCUUGUCAUAAGUGUGUUACUCUCAUAGAACAUCCUUAAUCUACUCUCCCAAUAUGAUCAUAUUUUAUCUCAUGGUAACCAUUACAUCUUCCUUCAUAAAAAGUCAAUUACUAUCAAAUAGUAAUCGAGUUAUUCAUCACAAAUACGAACAACCCAUGGCCACGCUUACUUUUAAUCUAUCAUGUAAUGCAAAUAAGAGGAUAUCAUUUACUCAUGUUUUGGGCUAUGAAUUACAGUAUUGUGACUUGUGCUACAUAUUGUAGAAAUUCUAUACCUAAUGCACCAACUUUAAGUUCAUUAUCUAUUUGAACUCAGGCUUUUACUUACAUAAAAGUAUAUGAGUUACGCAUACAUAGUCCAUCAUCCACUUAGGAUUGGGGUAUGUCACACUUUGAAUGUCACAAGUGAAUAAAUCUAUAAAUGGAUUCAAUAUAUAUUCUUCUUGGGUCCAAUCGAAUUUACUAUCAGUCUAAUAAUCACAUCUAUAUCUUUAUCUUUUGAAGGUCAUCUGCUCUACUGCCCAAGACAAGGCAUCUCCCCAAUUGGACUUGAUAUACGACAUAUUAGUCUUUCAAUCAGUUUGCUCAUUUCUGAUUAGACUAAAGACAUGUUUAGGUUCAUCUACUAAUAUAAGCUAUCUUUCCAUGUUACGAUAUGACCACGUAAUACCGCUUAGUAUUAGUUUAAACAUUAGACAACCAGUGAGUUAAUAUUUGCUUAUAUUUUGCUUCGCAUGCAAAAACCACAUGAGGAAAUUAUCCAAAUUGUAUUAAUGUAAUCCAUGAAUUAUUUUAUUAACCAAUUUGUUCAAAAAAAAUUAUAAGUUUACAAAUGAAUAUACUACACUUAGGGCACCAGAUCCAACAGACUCCUACCUAACUUAGUGAAGUAGAUAAAUCAUAUUUUGCAUUCCCAUACUCUCCACAUGUUUCUUAAAACUUCUAGCUAGUAGAGUCUUGGUAAAUGGGUCUGCAAGGUUGUCCUUAAAUGCGAAUUUGACUACAUCUACGAUUCCAUUUGAAACAACCUCUUAUGGUUUCUGGUUUCCUUAGUGUUUUUUAUUGCCAUAUUGUUGUCACAAUACAGUGUGGUAGCUUUUCUCAUAUCAAGAAUGACUUCAAGAUCUGUAAGGAACCUUCAAAGCCAUAUUGUUUCUUUUGUAGUCUUAAAGGCAGGCACAUAUUCGGCCUCCAUAAUGGAGUUAGUAGUAUAACUAUGCUCUACACUUUUCCACACAAUGGAUUCUCCCCUAGGACAAAAACAUAGCUCGAUGUCGAUUUCCUUGUAUCUUGACACAUUUGGAAGUCAAAAUAAGUAUAUCUGAUAUGAGUACAAUAUCCUCUAGAACAUACAAGCAUAUAAUCCCUCGUUCUCCAUAAAUACUUGAGUAUAUGUUUAACUACUUGCUAAUGUCUUGGUCUUAGAUUCACUGAAUAUCGACUCACCAACCCUACUACAAAAUAGAUAUCUAGAUGCUUACAUAACAUAACAUACAUGAGAAUUCCUACUAUAGAAGCAUAAUGAACCAUUCUCAUGUUUUCUUUUUCUUACGUUGUCUUAUGACAAUCUUCCAAAGAAAGAUGAAAUCUCGAUACAGAAGGUUGAUUUCCCUUCUCCGAAUAAAUCAUCACAUAACGUUCCAAUAUAUUAUCUAUGUAUGAAGCUUACAAUAGUACUAUCACUUUGUUUUAUCGAUCCCUUAGGAUUCAAAUUCCUAGAACAAAAUUAAAUUUUCCUAAAUCCUUUAUAUUAAACUUUUGGGUUAACCACAUUUUAACUGAUGAUAAUGUCCUUACAUCUGUAACACCCCAAACCUGGUCUAGACGUUAUGGUCGAAUCUGGGAGUGUUACAAAGAAGGGUUUUGAAAUUAAUAUUAUUAUGUUAAAUUUCUCUCGUUUAAUUGUUACUAAAAGAAUCCACAUUUUAUUAAACAUUUUAUUAUUUUUGUUAAGGAAAACAUUGUUAAUUGGCUCUUUCAAAAAACUUAUUUUGCAGCGGAAGUUUGAUAUUGUUAAAGUUGAAAACCGUGUUUGUGUUUUCAGAAAUCAAUUGUUUGCGUAAAACCAUGGUUUUAUCAAAUAUCCUAGUAUAAAAGUCAAAAACACAUCCAAAACCAAAAUUAAAAAAAACAGUCCAGAGAGUCCAAAAAUUAAAAAACACUAAAAAAUAAUCCAGAUUUUGAAUAAAAACCUUUAAUCAAAAUAGUUCGCGAACUAUUGGUCACUGUUGAGACUCUGUCGCACUAACCCACCUAUGUUUGAGGAUUACCUGGAUAGAAAAGACAACAGAUGUGAGUUUUCAUAAACUCAGUGUGUAAUUCAAUGGAAACAUACAUGCAUCAAAGUUAGAAUUUUAGUAUAUCAGAACAGAAGUGGACAUAAAUCCUUAUCAUAAUCAGAUUAUCAGAAGCAUAAGAUAUGCAAAGUCCUACCCCCAUCCUCUACACAUCAUCUCCGACCAUCCCAACACACCACGUGGGGUAUAAAGCACCCACCUAGCCCUACAUACCACAUAGUGUUUGUAUGACACUUAUCAAAAUAAUUUACAGCUGUGCUGCUAGGAUAACGGUGAAUUAUCUCCUUACAGAACACUUCCUCUAACAAACAGAACCCAACCCAUAUUUAGAUACAGAAUAUAGAUAUACAGAAAUAACAGAUUUAACAUGUCCCGCAUGCUCAUAUACAUAUAUCAUACAUGCUUAUAGAAUAUAAUCAGACAUACAUAUCAGUUUUUCUAAACUUAGAUCAGUCUAUCAGAAUAACAUAUCUCAUGCAUUAAGGUUUGUUUUGCCAUUACUGACCCUACGAAAGGCCCACAUUCGAUCGGAACGACACGUGUGGCCCUAGAGAAAAUUUUAGAAUUUCGGGCCCACAUGCCCUAAUUGGCCUUGCUUGUGUGGUCCACACGACCCACACACCCAAAUCAACCUUACCCGUGUAACCCACAUGGCUACACAUUAGCCCGUCACACGGUUGUGUGUCGUACACGAUCGGGCACACACCCGUGUGGCAUCGACAGACCACUCUUUUGACUUUCACUGAACCUUAUUUUCUCGUGUUUUCAUUACACACUUGAUUUAUUUUUUAUGUGAAAGCAAUCUCGAGACCUCUAAAACCUAAAAACAGUAUACCAACACCAUUUUAACAAUUAAUUUAUGAAUUUAAACAAGAAAUUGAUCUCGACUUAAGGCCUCUCAAAAUCGAAGCACUAAUGAAACACUUACCACCAACAACCAGAAACCACUCAGUACUCAAAUCUUUGGAGGAACAAUAGCCACUUCUUGUCUUUCCUCUAAUCGAGAAAUAUGAACACUGUUAACGGAUUUCGUUAAACAUAAUCAAAUUUCCCCACAAUGCAAAAUGGAAAAGAAAACCAUUUGAUAGCUUACCUAUUCUAAACAAAUCGAAGAACCCCAAAAGUAGAACAACGACAGCAUGUACGAUGACUAGAAUUGAAGAAGAACAGAAAAGACGAAAAAGAAUAGCAAGAAGAACAAAAAAAUCGUCAGAGGAAAGAAAGAAAAUGAAUUUUUGGAAAAUAAAAGAAUUAAAAUUAAAUAUUAAUUCUACCAAAAUCCUAACUCCCGAAAACCCCACUAACUACCAAUCCUACUAAAUUUGACCACUAAGCUCAUGAAACUAACUCAGAAUUCCAACUCCACCAAAACUCUAUUACACAAUUGAGCAAAAAUUAUCAUCCACGCUGACACGGGGAUUCAAACACGAAACCACAGGGUAAGCUAACACCUUACCACUCGAAGUAGUAGGCUCAUUCUGAUAUGAGUUUACCAAGAAUAUAACAUAAGCCCACCUAAAAGGGAUAAGUCCCAAAAAUAACAUAUCUUCCAAAAGUGGGACUUGAGCCCAAGACCUCAAACACACAUCUAGAACACUUAACCACUGAAGCAAAUACAUGUUUAUAUCAAAAUUCUCAAAAACAAGAUUAAAUAAUUCAGGGCGUUACAACAUCCUUUCUAAUAAUUAGAAUGUCAUUGAUAUAUAGAAUGAGAAAAACCACGUUUCCAUCCCCAAUACGUUUAUAAGCACAAGGUUCAUCUACAUUUUUCUCAAAUAAAAAAGUUUUGAUCACUUGAUCAAAUCUUUAAUUCCAUGAGUGGGAUGCUUGCUUAAGUCCAUAUAUGUUUCUAAGAAGUUUGCAAGCUUUAUACUCGUUUCCUUUAACUAUACAUCUAGAGGGUUGCAUAAUAUAAAUGUUUUCUUCAAGAUAAUCAUUCAAGAAUUCUGUCUUGACAUCUAUUUUCUAGAUCUCGUAAUUGAGAGUCGUCAUAAUGGAUAACAAUAUACAUAUUUAAUUGAGCAUGAAAACUAGAGAGAAGAUUUCUUCAUAAUCGAUAGUUUUUUUUCUAAGAAUAACAUUUUGCUAAAAGUCUAGCCUUGUAAUUUUCCAUUUUUCCAUCCGUAUUUAUUUUCUUCUUGUAGAACCACUUACACCCUAUGGGUUUUUAUCUCUUUCAUUGAGUCUAUAAGUUCCCAUACUGAUUUGGAUUCCAUCUCAACUUUCAUAGUUAUUUUCCAUAGCUUGGAAUCAAGACUUCAGAUUGCUCCAUUAUAUUUGAGUGGGCCAUGAUCUUCCUGUUUGGUAGACUCAGUGUUUAAAAUACUUCUGCCAGAUUGGAAGAACUUAGGCCUAUGAGAGACCCUUCCAUUACUACAAAACACCCUAUGUUGUUGAUCGUUUGCAAGUCUACUAUUAAGAGUUGGAUUUGGAACCAUUUUUAUAGGGCCUUUUGUAUUUCCUGAUUGUUAAUUGAUUACUUCUUUACUUCGAGGUUUGAAGUCUUACAACUAAUAUUUUUUUUGUCGUUGUACUGAUGAGUUAAUUUGGAUCUUUCUUUAAUGGCUAGUUCACCAUGAAGUCUAUUUAUAAGUUCUUCUUAAAUGAUGAUGAUGCUUUUUGUCUAGUUGCUAAAAUUGUUAGGAAGCUACCAUGUCAAUCGAACAUUCAACACUUGCUCUGGUUAACGUGGAAGAAUAAAAUCAUUUGUAAUGUUAUUCAAAUGACUAGACAUCUAUCGUUUGAUGAUAACUGUAAGGUUUUUGUGGGGGCUUGAAACUAUUUUGCCUAUACUUAAAGAUUGUCUAGUAGUCAAAAAGGUUUAGGAGAGUAUUUUAGGAGAUGUGUCAGCUUUUUUCUUCUCUUUAAAUCGAUUUGAAUUGUUCAUUUAGAAUUUAUGCUAGUAUGGGAAGGUACGGCUUAGGCGUUCAGAAUGGUCAUUAUGGCUCUCUUUUAUAUUUCAGAGUUUUUUGAAAUGGUGUAAUGUUUUUUUUGUUUCAUGGGCUUGGGGCGUAGCAUUCAUGAAAGACUAGGUAGUAUUUCUGGUGGAAUGCAAAAUUUUUUGGGAACUUUAGUUACUGUAAAUCAACAAUGUUGGUCUGAAAUCUUUUUGGGUUGGGAGAAACCACCCUAUGGCUAUGAAAAAUUUGACUCAAAUGGUAGUUGUAAGUUGGAUGAUGGUCAUGGUGGGGUAGAAGGAGUGAUUAGGGACUUGCAUGGGUAGUAGCUUAGGGGAUUUCAAGCUUUUUGUGGGAAAAGUUGCAUUGCUUUUGCGAAACUUUGGUAUAGUUUUCAAGGACUAUAGCUUAUCUAGCUUCAUAGUUUUUGAUUCAUCCUUGUUGAGUUGGAUUCUCUAAUGUCUAUUCAGAUGAUCAAGAGUGGGGUUGGUAGGUUGCAUCCUUUGUAUUGUUUAGUUUUGGUCAUCCAUGAACUCCUUCGGCGUGAGUGGACUUGUGAGAUCUCAUUUGUUCCUCGAUAGUGAAAUAUUACAGUAGAUUGUAUGGCAAAGGAAAGUUUGUUUAUUUAUGAUAUAUUGUUGUUGUUUGAUCACAUGCUAGCUGUUGUUUCUCACCUUGUCCAAGGUGAUAGGGAGGGUGUUGCAUUCCCAUGUUUGGUGCCCAUUCAUUACUUAGGGCAUUGCCCUCUUUUGUAACAAAAAAGUGAAAAAAAUCAACUUAAAGAAAAUACAAGAAUUAAAUGGCUUAUUAUUUUCACAUUACAUCAAAUCAUGAAAAAUUAAUAUUUUUUAUUUAAUCCCAUGUUGGAUCUGAUGCCCUAAAUGUAUUAUAUUCAUUUUGUAUACUUUUAUUUUUUAAAUAAAUUGGUUUAAUAAUAUCCAUUAUAUUAUCCUUAAUGGUUUUUUUGCAUGCAAAGAAAAAUGGAAGAAAAUAUUGGCUCAAUGGUUAUCUAAUGUUUAAUUAAUAGUAAGCAGUAUUACAUGGUCGGACCAUAAUAUGAAAGACAACUUGUAGUAGUAGAUGAACCUAAACAUGGCAUUGGUCUAAUAAAAAAUGAGUAAACUUAUUGAAAGUCUAAUAUGAUGUCUAUUAAGUCUAAUUGGGGAGAUGAUUUGUCUUGAGCAUCAAAGUGGACGUGUAACACCCUAGAUUUUGGGCUUGGAAGUUUUUGGGGUUUGCAUUUAGGGUUAAUGCGUAGCUCGACCAAUUAUAUGUGUUUUCGCAUUCUAGUGACAGAAUGGGCCUGCUGGUCUGGUGGUUGGUUGUGUGUUAGUUUAGCCUAGGGUAUUGGGUUCGAGUCCUCAAGUUUGUUGUGAGGGAAUUAUUUUUUCUAUUUAGCUUUGUUUUGUUGAAAAUUUUAAUAUUUAUUUAUUAAUUUCAUUUUUUAUUUUUUCUUCUUUUCCCUCAAUAUUGGUUUCACGUUCUCUCCUCUCCCUCACUGUCGUUUUUCUUUCUCCUUAUUUCUUUUUGGAUUUCUUGUGCCUUUUGACAAAAAAAGAACAAUUUUGUUUAUGAUAUUUGGAAAGCUACGGUUUCCUUGUCGUCAAGUCGGUGUCAGGGUGUACGAUCACAAACUAAGGUGUGGGUUUUGAACCUCUAUUCUUCUAUUUUUGAUUUGUUAAUUCAAUUCUGUAGUAUUCGAUAAUUCUGAGUGUGUACUAAACUGUGUAAUUAGUACCGAAUUGUUGUGAAAUUCGGCAAUUUUUGUGUGUUCUGAACUACUUAUAUUAGACAUGAAAUUAUUAUUGAAUCUGGAGGAUUUCUGUAAGUUUUUGUUGUUUAAAGAGUGGUUAAUGACUGGGGUUCGUUCUGAUGUCGCAAAACUAAGAUUUCAACUAGUUUCGGUGUGGUUUAGUGACCACAUGGGCGGGCAGACGGGCGUGUGUCUCGACACGGGCAGUUCAUACAGCUGUCUGCAGUUAAGAUUUAAGGUUUUUGGGCUAAUUUAGGUGCCACAUGAUCGUGUGGCGGAUUUGGGGAUUUUAGUCAACUUGUACACGGCCAUGUCCCUUUCUAACACGAGCGUAUUUGUUUGGGAGUUAGGGUUAUGUGAUUUGAUGCCACAAGGCCUCGCCACACGAUUGUGUGGCCAAUUUGGGGAUUUAGGGAUCCAAUACGGGCUUGUGUUUUGGACACACAACUGUGUCUGGUGAGCAUACGAGCAUGUGAGACCCUUAUAGAGUCGUGUUUGCCCUGUACCCUAUUUUAUCACAAAUGGAUAGAGAGUUACACGGCUGGAUCACAUGACCAUAUCCCUAGGUCACACGGGUGUGUGCCUUAGCCAUACAGCUGUGUGCCUCCUUUCACAUGAGUGUGUGCCUCUCCACAUGGGUGUGUUGACCCCCACACGGCCUAGGCACAUCCACACGGAUAGAGCACACGGCUUUUUUGCCCUGUUUUGUAAUUUUUUAAUUCUAUAUUAUAACUUAUCUGUUCUAUUUCUUGUGCCGUCCAACGAUUUUUGGGGCUGUGUAUAAGUAUUAAGGACUCUGAUACGGCUUAGGGUUGUGUGAUUAACUGAAAGCGUGGUGUUAAACUUUUGAUUUGAUAGUUCGUUUUUGUAGUGUGCUCUGCGAAAUGAAACUGUGUUUGUAAAUGUGAAGAAAUUUGACAUUGAGUUUGGUGUGUAAGAGCAUUCUGAAUCUGUAUCCGAUUCCAAAGAGUGUGUAUUUUUGUAAUCACAUGAAGUUCUAUUUUUGGCUGACUGUUUACGACUGUCUGUGUUUGUGUGACUGUUCAUGUUUGGUGUGCAUUGUUGCAUUUGCAUCAUAAUUUGGGGUUUGGUUGUGAAGAGAAGGAAGACUGAUUCUGAUCUAAUCUGGCAGUUUAACUACAACAUAUCUGUAUAGCGGUUUGCCGCAAUGCACUGUACUAAAUAUACGUCAUCUUUGCAGCGUACUAUUAUCUGAGUGGCUUAGUCCAUAUACAUGAUGUAUAGGGUUGGAUGGGCCUUUCGAGGUCCUAUGUGGUGUGUCUGGUUGUAUGAGCUUAAACAACUCUAUUGGGGUGUAUCAGGGGACGAAGAGGUGUUUGGCUAGAUGGGUGGGUUUUUACUACUUGACUGCAUUCAUAAGCGUCUAAUUAAGUGAUUGGGUGUAAGUUUUUUUGUCUGCAUCCUGUCUGUUUGACUAAUCAUUUGUGAUUGUUCUUACGUGUAAUGAUGUUUUGUAACAUUGUGUGUGAUGAUAAGUGCUUUUCUUAAGUACGUCCGUUUGGGACGUUGGCUACGUGUAUACCUUCUGGUUCUGUAUAUCUCUGUAAGUACGUUUCACUAUUGUACUACUAUCUAGAAUUCCGAACUUUAAUUCUGUUGUUAGUCAUGUUUCGAACUCACAUUGAGCUUGUGUAGCUCACCCCCUUAGUGUUUCCCCUUUCAGGUACAUUUCCAAAUUCUGAUGCUGGACUUGAUAUGCCGGAGGUCUCAGAGUUACGCGUUUUAAAUAAUUAGUUUAAGUACUGUUUUGAAAACUGUGGUAUAAACAUUUGUAUUUAAUACAUGUAAGCGUUAUUUUGACUGAGGUUUUUUUGUAACACUAGAAUUUUAUAUCUGAGAGUUUUACGGAACUUAAAUACUGUAGUGUUUUUCGAUUUGUUAAACUAAAAUUUCUCAUAGUCACUUCAGUGGUCAAUGUGACCUCCUAAAUUCGGUCUAAACUUCUAGAACGAGUAUUAGGGUGUUACGGGACGACUCCUAAAAGAUAGAGACAUAGAUGUGACUGAUUGGAUUGAUAGUAUAUCGGACAAUACCCAAGUAGAAUAGAUCAUAGAUCUAUUUAUGGAAUUAUUUACUUUUGAAGUUCAUAGUGUGACAUACCUUAAUCUUGAGUGGAUGAUGGAAUAUGUAUUUGUGACUUGUAUACUUUGACGUAAGUAAAAGCUGGAGUUCAAAUAGAUAAUGAACCAAAAGUUGGUGCGUUGGGUAUACAACUUUUGCAGUAUGUAGCAUCAUUCACAAUAGUGAAAUUCAUAAUCCAACUAAUUGGUAAAUGAUAUCCUCUCAUCAACACUACAUGAUAGAUGAAAAGUAAAUGUGACAACAAGUCAUUUUCCUUUGUGAUAAAUGUCUUGAUUACUAUUUGAUAGUAAUUGACCUUUCAUGAAGUUGUAAUAAUUACCAUGAGAUAAAAUAGGAUCAUCUUGGGAGAACAUAUUUAUUCCAAAGAGAUUAAACAUAUCCUAUGAGGGUAACACACUUAUAACAAGGUCAUUAGACGAGUACUGAUUGAGUAGCUUUUGUAAUGGUAUGUAAUUACGGAGAGCUUAGUCACAAUACAUAGUGGAAUGACUUCAUGACUAAAUGAGUUUAUAAUUAAUAGGUGAAAAGGUGGAACUUAAUUAUAAAUUAUUUCAUCCCUAAUUAUAUAGGUCUAGUUGAUCUCUCUACUUGCUUAUUGAAACUAAAAAUGAAUUGCAUGGAGAAUCAAAUAAAUAGAAAUUGAUGGAAAUGAUAAAAGUUGGAGAAAUGAGCUACAUUUACAAAUGAAUAUGGUUUCUCACUACGUAUGAUAAUGACUUGAGAAUUAAUUUAAGUUUCUUGAAUUAUUAUUUAAUUAAAUAAUUAAAGUUUAAAAAUAGAAUUAAAUUAAUUGGUCAUUGUGAAUCCUUUGAAUAUGGAAAAUAAAUAUAUUUUCUUAUAGAUUCUUUUACGGUAAAGUUGUCAUGACUUUAAAGGAAUUAGAAUUGGGUUGAGAAAAUUAUUUAAUUGGAAAAUUUAAUUUAUCUAAUUAAAUUAGUUAAUAAACAAUAUUUAUUUUGAAAAAUAGAAAAACAUGCAUUGUGUUAGAUUAAAUUAUAAAGUGUUGGGUUAGAAGUCAAUGAAGCACACAUAAUUGGACCCAAUGCAGGAGAAACUCAAUUCCCCUCAUAUUACAUGUGAGGGGCGACAACCCUAUUAUAUUUAACUAGGGGUGUCGCACCCCUAUUUUAGUUAAACUAGAAGACCAUUGUUCUAUUAAAUUCAUAUUAUUUGAUUUUUACUAGUUAAACAAGGAUUUUCUUAUCUCUCUUUAUAAAUAGAUGGCACUGGUAGAGCUAUUUACAAUAGUUACACAUAAGUUUGAGAUAUUAUUAUUCUAUUGAGAGAGAAUCACAAUUUUGUUAGUUUCUAUUGAGAGAGAAUUACUUUCCUACUAAAAGUAAUAAAUAAUUUAUGGUUCUUUGUUUGGUUAUGAUUGUUCGAGCCUACACUCGAAGCAACUUGUUGUACAAGAAUAGUGGAGAAGGUCAUUUAGUUGAAAGUCGAGGACAUCUAGGAUCUGUUUUGCGCAAAGCAUAUGUAGUUUCAGGAAAAAGUUUAUUGCUAUAAAACAAACCGGCUCGAUUUUUAAAAUUUUAAUUUUUCCAACACUCCAACCUUUGAAUAGGAGGAUAAACACGCUUCAACAUGUUCAAAUCCACAUCCUCCUACAUUAGCAACAAUGUCAAUGCCAACUAAGCUAAGACUUAAUCAAUGAUAAAUUAGUAUAUUUUAGGCUUUACUUGGCGGAGUGGAAAUAAAAUUGAAAGAAUGGAAAAUUGAAGGGAUAAAAAACUAGAAUGACUGAAAAUAUAAUUUUUCUUUCCAAUGGUGUACUUGGUAGGAUAGAUGAAAAAAUGGAAAGAAAAAGUAAUUUUCUUUCCAUCCAUUGAUUAGUAGAGGUGAAAAAUGGAAGGAAAGAAAAUAAAAAAAACAUUUGAAAGAUGCAAAAUUUUGAACUAACAUGCACAUCUCUUGUAACAACCCCAAACUCGGCCCAAACGUUAUGGCUGAAUCUGGCAUGUCACAUCAAAACUUCGUUCAAAAAUUGAGUUUGUCGUUAAAAGUUCAUUUCUAUGUUUAAAACCUUUUGCUCGAGUUUAGCAAAUCAUCUCGUCAAAAACGUUUACUUAAUGCCUGGCAUUAAUGCCUGGUAUUGAUACUUUAGGUUAUUCCAAUCGCGGAAGCUACUAAAGUUUGAAAUGUAAAAACAUCUAUUUUUAAGUGUUUUUGGAAAAUAGUUGUUAGUAUUGAAAAUGUGUGUUUAGCAGUUUUAAAUAAGGAAAUCUAAAGCCCAUUUAAAAAUUUAAUCCCUUAAAGGACUUAUAACAAAAUUAAAACCCAAAAUAUAAAAUUCAAAUAAAAAUUUUAUAGCAGAGCAUUAGCGGUCGUGUGGCCACCUCCGAGUCUCUCGCGGCUCCAAAUCACCUAAGGCUAGGGAUUACCUACGCAGUUAGACAGAAAGGGUGAUUUUGCAAAAACUCAAUGUGUAAUCCCUUAUAAUACAAACAGUCAGAUAUACGGUAUGCAGAAACAGGCUGGGCCUGAGCCCAUCACGAGCAUAGUAUCAGAUGAGCCUUAGCCCAUUAACAGAACUAGGUAGACCUAAGCCCAUUACAGAAUCAGUAUCAAAUGCAGAUAUGCAGAUAGAAAUCCAGCCCAAUCCAACCAAUGCACCACCCAUACAAACCAACACACCAUGUGGGGAUAAAAUCGACCCACCCAGUCAACACACCAAGCUUAGCACCGGUUGCGGCACUAAGUCAACAGAAUGGCUCGACACCGUAGACAGAAUGACUAGAAGCCAUAAGUAUCGUAGCAACGCUGCCACUUAAUAGAACGACUAAAAGCCAUAAGCAGAAAGGCAGUAAGCCUUGAACAGAAAGGCUACAGGCCAUACACUUCCUCCGUCAAUAUUAACCCAACACCAUUCAGGAUGACAUGUCAUAAAUUAUACGUGUAUGCAAUAUGUCAUACUCAGUAACAAUCAUAUAAAUAUCAUUAAGAAAAACGGCCAUACAUAGCACAAGGCCUUAACAGUCAUUUCAUCUCCUAGGGGCAUAACGGUCAUUUUAGCCCAUGAGGGUAUUUCGAUUAUUUUCUCUUUCGGGGGUAUUUUAGUAAUUUUACCCUUCGAGGGUAUUUUGGUAAUUUAACAACCUUUUCGAAGGUCUACAGUCGCCUCGAGUGACACAGUAACCUAAAUGGUCAUAACGGUGUAAAUGGGCCCAAGGCCCAUAUUCGACCCACGUGGGCCCACAAGCUCGUGUGACCCAUUUAGCCCAAAUUCAGUCACGGCUACGCGAACUACAUAGCCCAGUCCAGUAUUUGCCACUUAACGUGGAUUUUAUCUGAGUGGGGCCCGCGAGCCUAUUUGGCCCACACGACCCAUUUCAGCCCAAUGAGACCCAUAAUGGCCCAAGAGGACAAGAACACUCGUGGUGGCCUCAAUAGUCUAAUGCCUGUAUUCAUGGGCUCGGUUCACCACACGAGCGUUCGCAUGCCCAUGUGGCCUCAAUCGCAGUAUUUUCAGCUUUUUAACUUUUCGGCUUUUUUCGAUUCACAGAAGAGACAAUGUGAUUACACACACUCUUUCGGCUUUAUGACAGUAAUGAUUUAUGGUGUACGGAUACACACCUUUUUCUGAAAUAGUGCAGAAACCCCCGAAUGUCAAACCCAAGCCUUGCUUGAUCGGAUGCUCCUAGCCUUCUUAGACUACUAACAGAAUCGAUCACCCGCUUAAUCAUGUAUCUGCCUGUCCACGGAUUCUAUUAAAAGAUUGAAAAAAUCAAAAGAUUUAGGAACCCAAUACCAUAAUAAUCGUCUAACAUCAUACAUUAUUAGCCCAAAUGAUUACCUUCGAUUGUGAGAUAAUAAAAGGAUUGACUACGACUGCGAUCCUUAACAAACCCCUUCACUCCUUGUAAUGAUCUAAAAAACCCAAAAGUGCCACCAGCAUCAUCGGGGAAGAAAAAGGGAUUCGACCACGCGUGAACAACCAAAGGACAAAUUUAUUAAAGAAAGAGAAAACGCUUAGCACCCAACAACACAAGAAAGAAUAAGAACUUACCGAAAGUCUAGGUGACCUCCAAAACGCGACCGACCAUAGCGAAAGAAGAACGAGAUUGCUAUCUAGUUCAAGGCUUUGAGUCGAAAGGAAACAGAAAGAGAAAUAGCGAUUCGGCUUAGUAUCAAAAGAAUAUGGAAGAAGAAGAACUAUUCUGUCCUAAAGAAAUCGAGCAGAAAAACAACAACAUAAGAGUGGAGAGGGGUCGAAUUGGGUCAAGAGAAAAUAGAAGCAGAGAGAUGUUAAGUUCGACCAAAGGAGAAUAAGAGAAAAAAGACUUCAAAAAGAAAUAAUUAGAAAAAGGCACUUGAUGUCUAAUGUUUCCGACAGAGUGACCAAAAGCCAAAUAAGAAAUAAUGUUGAAAGAAAAGAGGACUCGAAUGGUAAAAAAUGUGCCAAGAUAAGAAAACAAAACCCGAAAAUACCAGAAGAAGUCGGCACCUACUCACUCUCACAUUGCUGAAAUGCACCAAAUGAGUUCCCCUAGCCGAAUUUGCACAUAGAAGUUGUACAAUUCCGCUACAACACUCCACUCCUCCAAAUCCCUCGAAAAUCUCCUCAAAUCUCUCCCCUUAUUCCUCCUUGAUAUCCUCCAUGACAACCUCAAAGACCCAUUCAAACUCUCUCACCCAACAGAGUUCAAAACCACCUCAAACUCCUGCCGCUUCAUGCUAACAAAAUAAAUAUCCUUUUUGCUUACAAUGAAAUUCGAACCCAAGCCCCCCUCUAUAGCUCAACACACCACUUGCCUCCUUGCCACAAGCUCUUUUGUGUUACAUUUUAUCUUCAAUUAAUGAAAAGGUCUAAAGGCCAAAGUCUUGGUUCCUUUAAAAGAAAAACCAAAAUAAAUUACAAAAACCAAGAAUUGAACCCAAGCUCCCUUAUAACCUUGAUGAUGCCACAACCACUAGACCACAUGCUUCCUUAUGUCAUUUUUUUAACACAAUAAUUUAAAAGGCCUACAUCCAAGCAUCCAGGGUUUUAUCCACUUAAAACCAAAAUUUUUGCUAAAGCCCAGGUUUGAACUCAGGACUUUUCCAACUCCUCUCAAGACCCUUAACCACAAAAACAAACAUACUUUUGUGCACAAUUUCCUAACCGUUCCCUUGUUCAAGGCCCAAUACUUCUAGGCCCAAAUUACGGAGCGUUACAUCUCUCGCAUUUUCUCUCCUCCCAUCAUUUCAAAUUGAAAUGAUUUAUUUUUAUGCGUUAGGAUGGAACAUGAUUAUCUCUCCUAUUUUCUUUCCUCUCACCUUUUUUCCCAACCAAGAACACCCUAAAUGUUCAACCAUAUGGUAAUCACUUUUUUUUUAUCAUCUAUUUGCUUCAAAAUUUAAAUGUACGAAGGAUAAGUCGUUUAUCUUUAUAAUAGAGAGACUAAUUUACUCCACUAUUCAAUAAUAGUAUAACUGUUAAUUUUUAGGCCAAACUAGAUUAGUAGUCACCCAACUAUUAGUAUUUUUUUUGUUACCCAACUAUAAAAAGUUACAAAAUGAUCACCCACUAUUCCAUUUUGUCUUUUUUGUCACUAGUUGGCUAAUGGUGGCAUCUUUUAAAAUUAGCAUAGUAGCACCUUUAACCCUCAACAUUUAUAAAUUAUGUCAAUUUAGUCUUAAUUCCAAAAAAUGUUAACCUUCAACAUUUACAUAUUGUGUAAUUUGAGUGGCUAUUUUGUAACUUUUCAUAGUCGGGUGACAAACUUUUUUUAAUAAUAGUUGGGUGACUACUAGUGUAGUUCACAUUAACUUUUAUUGAUACUAUUAUUUAAGUGUGUGAUUGAAUUAGUGUCAAUAGUCAACUUGACACCAAUGAAGGAAAGUACUAAGAAACCACAUUUUAAACAAUUAAUGAAUAUUACUAUAAGAUAUUUAAUGAAUAUUACUAUAAGAUAUUUUUUGUACUUCCAUAUAUUUAUAUGAAAUUAAUAAAAAAAUUAAAAUUAGAAGAAAAAAAAAGGGGUUUGAACUCACAACAUCAAGUAUUACAAUUUUAAAUUUUGCCUUUUCAACAAAAGUCUCAUUGGUAUCACAAAUCAAUUCAAUAUUAAAAUUUUCAUAAUUAUAUUUUUAAUAUUGAUUUUAUUCACUAAUAUGAAACAUCUUGAUAAAGAUUUUAACAUGAUAACAUUUUAAUGUGCUAUAAAAAAAUAACAAUACGAGUCGAAAGAAAUUAAAGUGCAUUUAAUAUUCUUUAUAUGAUACAUUUAUUUAUUUAAGUUUCUUUUUACUCGCAAUUUAAACUAAUGUUUUCAUUUUAAUUCCAUAUAUGUUGCACACGUGUACAAUUUAUUAUUUAUUGAAUGUUAUUAAUAAAUUAAUACAUUUAUUUUAAAUAUACGAUUUACAUGUGCAUAUAAAUAUGAUUAAAUUAUUAGUAUAAAAAUAUCGCAAAUAAAUAAACCAAACUGAUGAACAAGGUUUCGAGAAAUUUGAGCAUAUAAAAUUAAAAUAAAUUACAAAACGGUGAUUUAACAUUUUUUUAAUCAUUCAAGAUAAUUAUUAAACCCGAUCAUUCAUAUUAUAAAAAAAAAAAAAAUUGACUAGUCGGUCGUCAAAAGAAUAAAAUCUUGAGUAUUUGGAUUGUAGUUCUUUGAAAUAUAUUGCCGAUCAUAUUUCAUAAAAUAAAUUUUUUUUUGAACAAUUGUAGCAAUAAAAUAAAUAAAGUGGUGGGACAAACCUAAUAUUUCAUGGAGCUUUUGUUUGCAACUUGCAUACUGUCAUCAUCUGAAAUCGAUUAUGUAUUAAAGUUGAUUAAAUAUAUUAACACAUUUUUUAAGGAGUUAUAUUAUAUUUUAAUAACUUUUAAAUUUAACAUUACUAUAAAGAUAAUAUUUUCAUUUCUUUCAUUUAUUUUUAUUUCAAUUUAAUCAAAGUUAACAAAAAUCGUGUUAUAAUUCUUUAAACAAAAACUUGAAGACUUCAAAUAACUUAAUUUAAAUUGUAUACAUUGACAUAAUUAUAUAUUAUAUAUAUGCAUAUAAAAUUAAAUUAAUAGAGACAUAAAUUAUUUUGAUAAAAUAUAUAACUUUUUUUUUACAAAGCAAGAAUUGGUUACGGUGAUGAGAAAUUGAUAAACGUUUUCGAAGCACAUGUUGCCCAUUAUUUGGCUUCAUUGUAUAGUUAGUUAUUGUUGUUGUCUACUAUUGUAUCGUGGCAAAUUGAAGAAGAGUUUAAUGUCAUCAAGUGAUGGUUGGAGUUUACAUCCUACCUUAGUGCGUCCAAGUGUCACGGGGCUAGACCUUUCGUCUCGCAAUCCGUGCGGCCUUAGGCGAUCCGUUAGUCCAAACUCGCCCAAGUCAGCCUUAACUCCCAAAAGAGAGGAUUCUUUUAGAACUCCUCCAAGGCACCAAUUUAUAUAGCGGAAGCGAUUGUGCCAAAAGAAGCCACAAGAGAACAACAGAAAGCUAAAGAAAGAAAGCACACAAAGUGUUUGAGUAAAUGCUCAAGAAUUCUAUUACUCUUAAGAAUUCAAGUUACAAUGGAUGCUUUACAAAUGAGGGGGAGGCUCUCUAUUUAUAGUUGAGCUCCCCCAAAACCGACGGUCAAGAUACAUGUACAUCGACGGAUGAGACUCACUAUAUCCCUUGAUUUUAGGGAUUUACAAGAUUUACCAUAUCAAAUCUAAUCUAAUCUUACAAGAUAUGAUUCUAUUCUAUCUUCUAAGAUUAGUUACCAAAAUUGCCUAAGUUGCCAUGUCUUCAUCAUUGGGCCAACCAGGCUUCAAUCUGAUAGCUUCUUUAGUAGCUCUCUGAAUCGGGCCAGUUCUUGUGGGCUGAAUGUCCCCCAUCUAAUCAAUAGACCUCCAUAGGGCGCUUCUUGCGGCAUGGUCACGGGCUUUGCACUUUGGCCCGUGACACAAGUACGGUAUUUUGUCAUUUUUUGUCAUUCCCAAGUAGCCUACAAGAAGCAAUAAUAUGACUUUUAAGGGUCAAAGGAAUAGAUCGGAGAAUAAUAAGUCUAGCCUGGAGUUUGUGUAAAACCUAUAGUCCGGCUCGGUCAUUGGACCCAAGCUAUAGGAUAUUACCACCAAUAUCAGAAUAGUUUUUUUACACCAUUUGAUACAGUUCGAAGACACACAGCUCACAUAACUUACAGUACACAUAUAUGUAUAUAUAUAACGGAUUGUUCCACAGGUAGAUACAUGGCGGACUAUCCUGCAAGCAAUCCAACUGAAUAUUGUUUUGGACAUGGCUAAACUACGGACACAUAUUCCGGAAUGUCCUGCAGACACCUAUAUUGCGAAAUGUCUCAUAGACAUUUAAACCAUGACACAUACAAUCCUAUGCUUUUCAUAACAACAACCAAAUUAAUAUGUAUAGUUUAUAUACAUGUUCAAAAAUUAAAAUAUGUAUCCAUUUCAUUUAUAACAUCAAAAGGGACCAUAAGGUUCAACUACAACUUUGACUCCUUUAUAUCCAUGUGCAAGUAUCCACCUAAAUACAUGUUACUUUAUCGCAACGACAUAAACAAAAUCUACCAGUCAGCGAGUGGAUAGUGUGAACUUCUUGUGGAUCCGAUUAGUGUGACUCGAAUGAUCAAAACCUAUAGAAAAGGUAGCAACAUGGGAGUAAGUAUUUAAAAUACUUAGAAAGCUCAUAUAAUUUCAACACUUAACUUACCUCACCAACAACUAUAUGUAGUUUAAUAUACGCGAUAAAUUUACCUAUCAUACUACACAAUUCCAAUAAUGUAAGUUUGUACACUAAGUCAAAUGUAUAAUAUGAAAAAUACGCAACAUGAUAUGUUAAACUUUCAUAUCCAAAUAAUCCACUUUACUUUCAACUUUGAGUACCCGGAACUUAUCCAUCAAAUCUUUUGUUACCUUUCAUUUCACAACAUGCCAAUUUAACACUUUGCAAGUUUUAUGUUACCCGAUAAACCAUUGUGAAAAAACUCAAAACAUAGGAACGCAACACAUCAGGGGCUAAUUCGAGGUAAUUAUGUACAAAGGUGUCAGGUUACCCAUUCAGACUAAACCUUUAACGACACAAUAAUCUCUUGGCUAGGGUUGUAUAUACAUGUAAGGUUAUCGGUCCAGGCUAAACCCGUGGCACAUGCAUCUUCGAGUCUGCAAUAAUAUUGGAUCUCGAAAUCAUAAUGAAAUAACAUGUAACCAUAUGCAUGAGCCUUUUUCUAAGUUCAUCAGGACAAUUUCAUUCUAUAACCUAUUUUCUUGUAUCAUAAUUCAAUAUCUCCUUUUUAUGUUAAGCAAAUCGAAUCUCACUGAUAAAAUUUAUAAUUAUACAAUUAAAGAGAAAAAAUUAAACAAAGUUUAUAUCAUAUUAACUUACCUAACAGAAUUGUAACACACCAUGGUAGAGUCUACUCAACGAUUUUCCCAUUCCAACGAUCUUCUUUUGGUAGAUUCAAAUAUUAAUCUAUAACAUAAUUUAACUCAAUUUUCAUCAACCAAAUGUCAUUUAUCAGCUUAUUAUGUGUCUAAGUCAAUUCAAUUCUAUCUCUUUCAAUUCCUUUGAUCUUCACACAUUAUACAAUCGAGCCUUUUUAUAACAACGUUUAUAGAAAUUUCAGACUGGUUUUAAAAUUUUUACACUUUAUUCCUGAUAUUCAAAUCUAACAAAUUUUCAUUUUACAAAGUGGUCCUUUUUCAUAACCUCUCUUCUAAUCUAAUCAUUUAACACCAUAAUUUCAAGCAUUCAACAAUGGAAAUCUCAAGAAUCCUUAACAGUUUUAGAAACGGACACAAUUGUUAGCUAGAUUGAAGUACAACAAUCUCAAAAACACAAAAUCCAUGCAGAACAAGGCCAGAUUAGCUUACCAUGCAAGAGCACAGAACUUGGUUGAACUUCCCUCGCUCAACAAGGAAGAAAGAUGGUGAUGGAGAAGAUGAAAAAAAUUGAAUUCCCCUCCUACCAUCCCUUAUGUUACGGUAUAUAUAUAAUCUAAUUAUUAUAUAAAAUUAACAUUAUUUUAAAUAAUGCCAACACCUAAUCAGUCACUAAAGAAAAGGGCUAUAUUGUCAUUUUAGGCCCUAAUCAAUUAAUGUAUUAUCAUUAGUAAAUAGAAAUCCUUAGUAAUUAAAUUUUAUCACAUUUACAAUUUAAUCUCUAUACUAUAGUCAAUUUUCUAAUCAAUCAAAUUACUAAAAAAAAGUUUCAUAUAACACUAUAUUGAACCAAUGAUUAUUAAAUAUUAAUAUUUACGGACUCGAUAAUCAGAGAAUAGGGUUUCGAAAACACUAUUUCUGGUACCACUAGAAACGGGUUGUUACAACUCUCCUCCCCUUUUGGAAUUGUCUUACUCGAAAAUCUUACAUGAAAAGAGAUCCGGGUAUUGUGACCUCAAGGUUUCUUCCAGCUGCCAAGUGGCUUCCUCCAGCUCCCAAGUGGCUUCCUCAAUACCAUGGCAAUGCCACAAAACUUUUACUAUAGCUAUCCACUUAUUUCUCAAUUCUUUUACUUCUAGUGCCAAAAUCUUCACCGAUUCCUCACUGUAAGUUAAAUCAGGUUGCAAUUCUAUUUCACUCAAAGAUAUCACAUGAGAUGGAUCAAAACGGUAUCGAUGUAGCAUUGAUACAUGAAACACAUUUUGGAUUUUCUUAAGCUCUAAAGGUAAAGCUAAUUUAUAUACCAUUGGACCAAUUCGUUCAAGAACCUCAUAUGGUCUUAUACGUCUCGAACUAAGCUUUCCUUUUCUACCAAAUCACAAAACUUUCUUUCAAGGUGAGACCUUCAAGAAUACCUUGUCAAUAAUUUGAAACUCGAUUCCUUUCAUUCUCAAAUCCACAUAUGAAUUUUUUUCGAUCAGAGGCAGCUUUCAAACAAUCCCUGAUAACUCUAACCUUUUCUUCUAUUUCGUGAACUAGAUCAGUUCCUGCUAACUUAUUUUCACUUAAAUCGGACCAAUACAACGGGGUUCUGCAUUUUCUUCCGUACAAAGCUUCAUAUGGUACCAUUUUGAUACUUGAUUGAUAGUUUUUAUUGUAUACGAUCACAUCUAGUGGUAAGAAUUUCUCCCAACUACCCUCAAAUUCCAUAACACAAUAGCAAAACAUAUCCUUAAGCAUUUGUAUCACUCACUCAGACUAUCCAUCUGUUUGUGGAUGAAAUGUUGUACUGGAAUUCAGUUUGGUACCCAAAGCUUCAUGUAAUUUACCCCAAAAUCUAGAAGUAAACCAUGGAUCACAUUUUUAAAUAAUAGAUAACGGUAUACCAUGUAGUCUAACAAUUUCAACCACAUACAAUUCAAAUAGCUUAUCAAGUGAAAAAUCAGUUUGAAUUGGAAUAAAAUGUACAAACUUGGUUAAUCUCUUAAAAAUUACCCAGAUCACAUUCUUCUUGCUUGAUGUCAAAGGCAAACAUAAUAAAAAAUCUACUGUAACAUGUUUUCAUUUCCAUUCAGGAAUCAUUACUAGUUGGAGUAGACUAGAUGGAACUUGAUGCUCAAGUUUCACUUGUUGGCACACUAAACACUUUGCUACAAACUCUAGGAUUUCACGCUUCAUUCAUAGCCACCAAAACAUUUUUUUAAAGCACAAUACAUAUUGGUACCACCCGGAUGAAUCAAAUAAGUAUUGUUGUGAGCUUCAGAAAAAAUAUCUCUUUUUAAUUUCAAAUCUUUUGGUAUACAUACCGAUUGUGAAAAUUAAAUUAUCAUCAUCACCAAUACUAAACUUAGUUAUCUGACCAAUUUCAAUUAACUUCUGCACAACUAACAACUUCGGGUCCUUUUUAUGCAACUUUUGAAUUCUUUGCAAAAAAAUCAGAUUCACUCGUAACUCAACUAAGAUAGAACCAUCACGUUCAAGCAUUAGGUGCGUAUUUAGUGCUCUCAAAGCAAACAAAAACUUUCUGCUUAAAGCAUCAGCCACAACGUUAGCUUUUCUCAAAUGGUAGUAAAGCCACCAUCGUUAUCUCAAGUUUAAUUCUUUUCGCGUCCACAAAUAUUUCAAGCUCUUAUGAUCAGUGCGUAUAUGGAACUUUUCUGAAUAAAAGUACUGGUUUAGGAUUUUUAGAGCAAAGGUAGCAGCUACCAAUUCUAGAUUGGGCAUCAGAUAGUUCUUCUCGUGUGAAUUUAACUGUCGAGAAGCAUAAGCAAUCACCUUACCUUCUUGCACCGAAAUGCAACCUAAUCCACUGAGCGAAGCAUUACUAUAAACAACGAAUUGAUCAGUGCAUAUAUGGAAUUUUUCUGAAUAAAAGUAUUGUUUCCAGAUUUUUAGAGCAAAGGUAACAACUACCAAUUCUAGAUCAGGCGUUAGAUAGUUCUUCUCAUGUGAAUUUAACUGUCGAGAAGCAUAAGCAAUCACCUUACCUUUUUGCACCGAAAUGCAACUUAAUCCACUGAGCGAAUCAUUACUAUAAACAACGAAUUCCUUUCCAGAUUCUAGUUGCGUCAACAUGGGGGCUUCUAUUAGCAUUGCUUUUAUUUUAUCAAAACUUUAAGGACACUUUUCAAACCAGAAAAAAUUAAUCUCCUUCUAUAAUAGCUUAGUCGAUGGUAACAAAAGAAUUGAAAAUCCCUUGACAAGCCAUCUAUAAUAUUUAGCAAAACCCAAGAAACUCCUCACUUCACUGACAUUCCUUAGAGGUUUCCAUUUCAAGAUUGUAGAAAUUUUAUUUGGAUCAAUACGGAUACCAUCUGCAAAGAUUACAUGACCAAGGAAUCCAACUUCUCGGAGCCAAAAUUCACAUUUACUAAACUUUGCAUACAUUCAUUUUUCUCGUAAUGUUUGCAACAUAGACCGCAUGUGCUGGGAGUGCUCAACUUCAUUCUUCGAAUAAAUCAAAAUAUCAUCAAUUAACACAACUUAAAAUUGAUCUAGGAAUGGAUGAAAUACCUUGUUCAUCAUAUCCAUAAAUGCAGCAAGGGCAUUGGUCAAAUCGAAUGACAUUAUUAGGAAUUCGUAGUGUCCAUAUCAGGUUUGAAAAGUAGUUUUUGAUACACCUGAUUCCUUGACUCAUAACUUAUAAUAUCCUGAUGGGAGAUCAAUUUUCGAAAAUACGGUGGCUUUGUUCAAUUUAUCAGAUAGGUCAUCAUUGCACAACAACGGGUAUUUGUUCUUUAUCGUGACCUUGUUCAACUGUUGGUAAUCAAUGCACAAUCUCAAUGUUCCAUCCUUCUUUUUAACAAAAGAAAAAUCGGUGCACCCCAUGAUAAUAUGCUUGGUCUAAUGAAUUCGCGAUUAAUAAGUUCUUGCAACUAAAUUUUCGAUUUUUUCGAUUUUAUCGAAGUCAUUCUAUAUGGGGAAAUUGUACUCGGAGCACUUCCAAGCAUUAAUUCAAUUACAAAUUUCACUUCUCUUUCCAAUGGUAACCCUAGUAAUUCUUCCGGCAAUAAGUAAAUUCUCACACAGUUAGGACUUUCUCAAUUUUUGUUCCUAUCACUCUCGUGUCCAGUACAUAAGCUAAAUAUGCUUCACAUCCUUUUCUGACCAACUUUUAAGUUGUCAAAGUUGUUAUAAUAUUGGUAACACAAUCUUCCUGAUCGGUUUCAACAUUAACUACUUCGUCGUUUUGACAUUUCAACACAAUUCGCUUAUCUUUAUAGUUAAAAAUGGCAUCAUGUACGAUCAACCAGUCCAUACCAAUGAUGACAUCAAACUUGUUAAACGAAAAUAACAUUAGAUCAACAAGAAAUUCAUAACCUCGUAUUUUCAAUGGAAACUUCCUGCAUAUCUUAUUAACUACUAUGCACUUACCUAAAGGGUUUAAUACUCUAGUAUCAAACUAAAUCAACUUUACCGGCAUAUUUUUUCAGUUACUAAUGCAAUACAUAUAUGAAUACGUUGAUCCAGGAUUGAUUAAAGCAUAAACAGAAACAUCAAAAAACGGAAAUUGUAUUGAUGUAUCUCACAUGACUAACUAUCGAUAAAUUUAUAGCUAUGGUGAGUAAAGAUAUCAUAUCCACGAAGACUAAAAGUAUUAGUAAUUACUAUUUUUCUAUUAUUUAGCCAACAAUUUGGAGCAAUGGGUUUUAAACUAAAAUUACUAAACUAAUUUAACCAAGAACUCAACAGUGAAUAAAUUAGGAAAAUAAUUGAAUAAUAACCAAUGAGAGAGAUAAUACCCAGGAAAGAAUCCAUAUAGACUUCAUCUAUUAUUAUGAGUCUGAAUUAAAUGAUUUAUUCACUUGGUAUUUUGAUCCAUAGAAAUCCCUAAAUUAUGCUAAUAUCUCUUUCUAGUUAAGAACAAUUGACUCUACGUCGAUUCAUUGAAAUCUCAUUCUAAUUAAAACCCCUAUCAUCGCAUUAACUCGAUCUAUGGAUUCCCUUAUUAGAUUUGACUCUAAUCCGAUAGAUUUAUGUCGUCCUAUUUCUAGGAUUGCAUGCAGCUUCACUCAUUUAUGUUAGAUCCGCUCUUAACUAGGGACUUUCCCUCCUCUGAAUUAAUAUCCCAGAAAUAUUAAAACAAGAAAUAAGCACACAUAACUGAGAACAAGAAUAAAGUAUUUAUCACGUAAAACAUGAAUUAAAUAAUAGAAUUCAUCAUAGGUUUCAUCUUCCCUAGUACCUAGGGAAUUAGUUAAUAAUUCUGAAUAAAAACAUCUCAAAGUAAAAAAAAACCACAAGAACUAAAGAAACUCAUAAAAAAUUCAAAAUAAAUUAAAAGGAGGUCUUCGAUCUUAAUGGAAAUCUACUUUAAAGUUGGAUCUAAUUGUGUUCUUCGAGUUGUUUUCUACAAUAUUUUCUAAUGGAUCCCAUAUCUCCUCUUCUAUUUGAUAUUUAUAGACUUUAGAAUGCUCAGAAAACCUAAAAAUUGCUUUUUCUUGCGCGUUUGGGAAGCAAGUUGUGAAUUUGACACGGUCUAGCACAUGGCCGUAUGUCCAGCCUGUGUGGCUCACACGACUGUGUAUCCAACCCAUGUAGCUCUUGAAAUCUAUCAUUUCUAUCUGAUUUUUACUCGUUUUUGGCUCCUUUAACUCCCGAAUGCUCACCUAAGUAUAAUAAUAUGAAUUUAAAGAAUUAGAAGCAUCAAAUUCACCAAUUUGCAUAAAUAAUCAUCCAAAAAUGUAUUAAGAAUGGGAUUAAAAUAUGUUAGUUUUAUCACUUAUCAAAUAUCUCCACACUUAAGCGUUUGCUUGUCCUCAAUCAAAAUCCUCAACUCAUAGUAAAGUUAAUCUUUCUCAACUUGUAAUUCUCAUCAAUAAUGUUUCGAAAUAAUUCACAAAUAAUCAUGUAUUGACAAUUCAACUAAAAGGGCAAUAAAGAUUCAAACAAUCCAAGUCAAAAUUUUUAAAGUACAAAAAUAUAGGUAUCUCCCCUUAUCUGAGUAAUUACCUUUAAUUCAAAACUGAUAAGAAUUGACAUCCUCACUAAAGAUUCACUCAAAGCACUUAAAGUGUUUAAGUUUCAAGAAAUAAGCACUCAACAGUCGAACAAGAAAUGUCAUUACCAUAAGCUUGCUUGAAAAUCAAAUCUCCAUCACUAUAAAUGAUAUGGCACACCAAUCAAAAGGUUUUUAAGAGGUUGUAAUGGGGUGCAGAAAAAGGCCAGAAAAGUUUGUUAUAAUCGAGAUCGAUUUGAUAAAUUACCGAACUAGAAAAAAUAAACAAAUGCUGAAUUCAAAACAAAUGCACCUUCAAGAAUAAACAGGAAUAACAAAACGAGCGUUUUCUCAAGAUAUGAAAUUAAUUGUUCAAGCUCAAUUAACAAAUAACUAAUUAAUAAUCAAUUUUUUUCUAUUUCUCUUUUUUUUUAAAACAAGAAUCAAGAAAUAAAAUUUAGCAAAUCAAAUAAAAGAGCAUAGUUAGGAACUAACCAAAUCAAAUCUCGCCAAAAAGGGAGUCAAUAAAGCGGGAAAGAGUUACAGCGAAAAAUGAGUUAUGGGUUAAAAUUCACGGGUUAAUCAAGAAAAGAGAUGUUAGGCUCAAUGGGGUUUACUAAGGGUUAAUUCAAAAUAUAUAUUUUUUAUAGGAUAAGUGGGUUAAACCUAAGUACCUUUAUCAUCUCAGUAUAUCAAAUCAAAGGUGUGGUCUCGACAUGCAUAAUCGAAGCAAAAUCUAGAAUAACAAAUCAAGUUGACACAUUCAUAACUAAUAAUAGAAUGAGCAUGAAAAAUUUAUGCUCUAAAAGAUCAAAAUCUCACAAAAAAUCAUGGUUUUGAUGUCAAACUUGCAAAUUAAAACUUCAAGAUAAUACUUCAAUUCAGGGAAACAACUUAAAAAAUUUUAAUUUUUGAAAAAUAACUUAUCAUGCUUGACUCUCUCAUGUCUUGAAGCUUAAAUCAAUCAAUGCACAAGUAUCUAAUAAUUAAUCCAAAACAUCAUCAAUACAAAUCUCAAAUAAAAAAUAAUUCACUCUAACAGAAGUAUGAGAAUAGUACUUAAACACAAGAAAUAAUUUAGGGAUUUUCUAAUAAUUAUAUGAAUAAUCUCCCCAUACUUAAUAUGUACAUUGUCCUCAGUGUACAAAAAGAUAUACGCACAUUAUAAGCAAAAUUUCAUAAGAGAGGGAGAAAAUUGAAACUGCCCUGAAUAUGGAUCAAUUCACCGGAAUUGUAGGCAAAUCUAAAUGUAGUGCAUGGUUUUGAGCAAACUAGUAAGAAAAUAAACACAAAUAAUGAAGAAGAUUAAGAGGUUACAAACUCGAUUAGAAACAACAAAAAUAAAAAUAAAAACAUAGUUCAAAAGAUAAUAAACGAAAGAAGUCUAAGAAAAUGAAAAGAAAAUUACUAAAAAAAUAAAAAAUAAAAGUAAAAAGACAAGAAAUAAAAUCAGUGAUCUUCAUUGUCGAAGGCAUCGGGGUCGUGAAGCGCAGACGCUAAAGAAAAUAUAUGGAGGUGCUGAUAGAUCUACUGUAAAGUCGCAUAAAUAUUGUUAGACCGCGUAAAAUAGUGCUGUCAAAACGAGUGAACCACUUGGAGAGGUCCGCGAGGCUAGUAGUAGAAGUAGUUGUGCGGUGACUCGGAGGUGGAUAUGGAGGUAGAUUCUUGUGGUGGAAGGAGACAUUAUCAGUGAAGUCGUCAUGCUCAUCUUGAGGGUCAGAAUGAGAUAAUCGGUAUCAAGGAGGAUCCACACCACGCAGUCACUCGAUCAUCCUCAUGUGACUCAUACUUGAUGCGGGGUCAUCUGCCCAACAAGUGUGAAGGAGGAGGACUACUCUGAAGUGUCGAGGAUGCUAAAGUGUCAUGCGAGGCAAGUCACAUAAGGGCCUAAGCAGAUAGGACCCUUCCUACUGCGCUCUAUCUGAUGGCGACAAGCUAGGGUGAUGAAGUAGGCAAGAUCAAAAGUGCGCCACGUUGCCAUGCUCCAAAGGAAGUAAGCGUGAAAUGUAACUACGACUCCGGUGCUCUCCCUCUAACCAUUCAAUGUGUAAGCUAAGAUGGCAUGGGUAUAGUGCAAGGCCAGAGGUAAGGAAGUCACCUUCGAUUGACUCAGAUCAUAGGGUGUUGUACUCGAAGUAAGGUCUACCCAGCAUAAAAAAGGCGAGUAUUGGAUGUGUUGGUAUAAAGUGAGGAAUGCCUCGGCACUUAUGAACUCCUUAGUAUAGAGUUCUAAAGUAGCUUCGAACUUCAGGACGCUCAUAUGACACGAAGUGUCGCUGAGUCAAAAAGUAAUAGUGUGUGGCUCAUCAUGGGUCAACAUAACGUGCUGUAAGAAGAAUGUCGAACAAAACUCGAGAGUAAGCUCUGAGUAGAUGGGGUCGGUGAUGGAGAAGAACCCAUCUCAAGGAGUUGUGCCAAUUAGUGCACGCACUCUAUCAGCUAAUUAGACUUGCUCUAAAGCGACCCAAUCAAUAGAACGACCUCCCACUGGCCGCUGUCGGAGAUGCUGAUAUAGGUCCUCUUGGAGACCCUGUAAGAAUCGGAGACAUGGAUGGUAGGCCUCGGCAGAAGCGCCCAAAGAAGAAGUUGCACCCGGAGUCUUCCGCUUUUUCGAAACGGGGACAGUGACCUUGGAUUUCCCUCUAGUGUUCGUGAUGGAGAAUCUGCAAUAAAAUAAAACAAUCAAAUACUAAAAUCAAAGGGAGUAAAUGAACGAACCAAUCAUAAUAGAGGCAAUCUAAUAACCCAUGCAAUAAAAAUCGAAGUCAACACCAACAACUCGACGAAAGAAAAUAAAUCAACAGCAAAAAUAAUAUAAACAAUAAUAAAAAAGAAUACUAAAAGAAGCAUGACUUAAUACUAAAAAAUCAAGAAUUAACAUUACUGAAAGUAAUAAUAAGAUUGAAAUAAUCAAUAUCAACUAUAAUACUAAGUAAUAAAAUAAGAAAAUAAUAAAUGAAAAUAAUAAUACUAACCAAAAAGAAAAUGAGUAAACAAGUAUCAUUCCACUAGAACUAAAAAAUAAUAACAAUGGAAGUAAUCAUAAUAAAUGAAUAAAUAAAAACUAAGGAAUAAAAAAAUAUAAUAAAUUUAAUAACAAUAAAUGAUAACACAAAAAUAAUAAUAAAUAAAAUAUUAUGAAGAAAAAGGAUAAAAGGUAAACAGGGAGGACUGAUGGUGACAGUAGGACGGUGACGGUGACUGGAGACGCGGCGGUUAGCGUAAGGGAGAGAUGCACACGGUGAUUGGUUGGCAACGGGAAUGGUUGACAAUGUUGGGGGCUAGUCAUGAGGGAAACGGAGAGGGCAAAUGAGAGGGGUAGGGGCGUGGGGAUGUUUGUGUGGUGGUUAGGGAUGGCGACGAGGUUGGAGUGUGUGGGUAGAAGCUGUGAGGGGCGAACGGAUGGUGAGAGGUGGGGGCUUUGUUGUCGAAAGGGGAGAGGGAAAGGGGUGCUACGACAUCGAAUGAAAAUGGGGUGUUGGGGGUGGUAGAAAAGGGGAGAGCAAGGAAAGAGGGAAGGGGGAAUCGCGAGGGCAAGGGAGAGGGAUGAGUCGUUGGAAAAGUGGGGUGUUUGAAGGUGGUCGGUCUGGUGAGAAGGGGACGAACUGGGGUGGCUAGACUAGCAAUGGGAAAUGAGAACAGUGGUUCGGGAGAAAAAUAAAGAAGAAGACGAAAUGAAAGUUUUUUAGGUUUUUUGGGUUAAAAAAGAGGACACGGUCGUGUAACGGCUCGUGUUGGGUCAGAUGGAAGUAUCACAUGCUCGUGUUGGGCAUUCUCAUCCCGUGUGCAAGUCAAAAUUUUAGCUUAGUUUUUACACAACCUCGGACACGCCCGUGUGUCCAGGCCGUGUGUCACACACAGACGUGUGCUAGGCCGUGUGUGUUAUUCCUUCACUUCUCCCACUCCUGUGAGCUAGGUCGUGUGCUCACACAUGCCUGUGUGAUAGGCUGUGUCUCGCACACAGUUCUGUCUAUAGCUCGUGUAACUCUCUAAUUGGUAAUUAAAUUUGAAAAUAUAACUCCAGUGUUCACAUGGCCUAGGAUAUUCCCGUGUGUCCUAGACGUGUGAGCCAUACGACCGUGUCGCUAGGCCAUGUGGACCACCUCAGGCCGUGUAACAAUCAAAUUUGGAUAAAAUUAAGUCCCAGAGCUCACACGGCGAAGGACACGCCCGUGUGUCCAGGUCGUGUAACCUACAUGGCCAUGUCUUCCCACCAUAUAACUCUCUGCCAAUUGUUCCAUUAUACACACGGCCUGAGACACGCCCGUGUGUCUAGAUCGUGUGACUCACUAUCGAUUAUCCUCUUUUGUGCAUGGCUCGAGAUACACCCGUGUGUCCAAGCUAUCUGGGUAAAAAACAUAUUUUUUUCAAUUUAAUUUAAUUAAUUUUAAAUUAGCAUGUAAUAAAAAGAAUUAACUAAAUUAAACACUCGGGUUGCCUCCUGAGAAGAGCUUAUUUAGAGUUUAAGCUCGACUUUACCUUGUAUGCACACUGUUUACCUUAAUUUUGUCAAAUUCUGAAUGAGUUACCUCGACUGCACUGUAUGGGAAGAUGUUCAGUACCAUGAAUGGGUUCGAUCUGUUUGAUUCGAGCUCCGAAUGGGUGAUUCAUGGAUCCGUUUUGUCUAGUAGUAUUUUUCCCCCAACCUUAAAUUGGUUUAUUCCGUUCACAUGCUCAUCAUGGAGUCGCUUUGCCUCUUCAUCAUGUUUUUUUUGUUUCUCCUUUAUAUGUGUUCGCCAUUCAUCUAGUUCAUCGAGUUGCACCAUUCGUUCUUCAUAAGUUGUUCUAUUUUUGUCACCUCGACUGAAACAUGGCUCCCAUAUGAUUUCAUGAGGGAUUUCCUACAAAGAAGGUUGAGCCACACGAUUACUAACAUUAACAGAGAUUUUAAAAUUAUCUUGAUCACUAAAGACUCUCACAGAAUCACGUGUUUGGAGAAUAAUAUUUUCGUCACCUACACAAAGCAUAAGUUCACUCGUACCCACAUCUAUAAUAAUGCUAGCAGUGGCUAAAAAGGGUCAACCUAAGAUCAAAGGUACUUCAUUAUCCUCAUCCAUGUCUAAAACAACGAAGUCAAUGGGGAAUAUGAAUUUAUCAAUUUUCACAAGAACAUCCUUAAUAAUACCCCUAGAAUAUCUAAUGGUUCUAAUCGCUAAUUGAAUGCUCAUCCUAGUUUGUUUGGGUUUCCCAAGACCUAGUUGUUUAAACAUUUUAUAGGGCACAACAUUAAUACUAGCCCCUAAAUCAGCCAAAGCAUUAUCAAUAUUUAAACUACCAAUGAGACAAGGAACAGUAAAACUCCUUGGAUCUUUUAGUUUGUUAGGUAGUUUUUUUUAGAGAAUGGCAGAGCAAACUGCGUUGAGCUCCACAGUCGACGAGUUGUCUAUCUUUCUCUUGUUUGUUAACAACUCCUUUAAGAAUUUGACAUAGUUAGGCAUUUGUGAAAGAGCUUCAAAAAAAUUAAGUUAAUGUGUAAUUUUUUAAGAGCUUAAGGAAUUUACCAUAUUGUUCGUUUGUGUGGUCUUUCUUCGACGCGUUAGGAUAUGACACUCGAGUUUGUAUUCUUUGACAACUGGCUUUUGUUUUUUCUUAUCUUCCUCAACCUUAUUUUUGUUCACCACAUCUUUUUGCCUCGUCUCUUGUUUAGGUUCAACUAACCCAUCCACGUCUCGAACAAUAAUUGCGUGGAGCUGCUCUCUUGGGUUAGUUUCAGUGUUGCUAGGCAAGCUACCUUGUAGUUGUUCUGAAAUUAGUUUAGCAAGCUAUCCUAUUUGGUUUUCGAGUCAUUGAUUUGUUACUUGUUGGUUUUUUAGUGACGUCUAAGUGUUUUGAAAAUGCAUUUCUGACACUAAGAUAAACUUUGUCAACAUCUCCUCAAGGUUUGGCUUUUUCUCUCGUUGAUAAGGUUGUUGAAAGCCUGGAGGUGGUUGUGCUCUUUGAUUUCCUUGACCACCCUAAGAGAAAUAGGUUGGUUCCUCCAACCUGCAUUAUCGUUUUAGCAAUUCUGAUGUACCUGCGUAGAAAUAUAUAAACUAUCAAUUUUCUUAUUUAGCAAUUCUACUUGAUUUGAUAACAUGGUGACUUCAUCUAGAUUAAAAACACUGGCUCCUUUCAUCAACUUUAUCCUAAUGACUUGCCACUGAUAAUUAUUUAGUGUCAUCUCAUCUAUAAACUCAUAGGCUGCUUUGGGUAUUUUAUUGUUCAGUGUUCCACAGAUUGUUGUGUCGACUAGUUGAGGGAUUCAAAUCGUUGUAGAAGUUUUGAACUUGUAACCAUAAGGGUAACCCAUGAUGAGGGAACCUUCUCAAUAAGUCUUUGUAUCUCUCUCACGCAUCAUAUAAUGUCUCUAAGUCGAUCUGUACAAGAGAAGAGAUGUCAUUCCUCAACUUAACUGUCUUAGCCAGUAGGAAGUACUUUAGAAGGAGCUUCUCGAUCAUUUGAGCCCAUGUAGUGAUGGAACCUUGUGGUAAAGAGUUUAACAACUCUUUUUCUUUGUUCCUCAAUGAGAAUGUGAACAACCAUAAGUGAACGGCAUCGUCAGUGGUGCCAUUAAUCUUGAAAGUGUCGCAAAUUUCUAGAAAAUUGGCCAAAUGGGUAUUUGGGUCUUCAUCUUAAAAAGCAUCGAACUAAACAUACUGUUGUACCAUCUGAAUAGUGUUAGGCUUUAGUUCAAAAUUGUUUGUAGCAAUGGUGGAUCUCACAAUACUCGAUUCAACCCCAGUCAAAGUGGGCUUAGCAUAAUCGUACAUAGUACGAGGAACAUGAGCUGCAUGAGGUAGUUGAAUAUUCUAAUUAUCACCCAUCUCCUCAAUAAUAAUGUUGUCCUUUUGUUCGUCUACUAAAUUAUGUCAACUCUGCCUUUCUUCUCAACGGUUUCUAUGAAUAAUACUUUCAAUCUUGCUGUAAAAAAGUAAUGGUCCCGACGGGUUUCUUCUAGUCAUAAACCAAAAGAACCUGCCAAAAGCAACAAAAGAAAAAUUAGAAUGUAAAAAUUAAACUAAAUAUAAAAAUAUAAAAUUAAAAAUGGCUACAUUAAUAAAACUUAAGCGUUUCUAAUAUUUUAGUCCCCAAAAACAGCACCAAAAACUUUAUGUGUCUCACGUGACUAACUAAAAAUAUGACAAAGGCAAAUGCAUCUAUUGAUAAAUAGUAUGGCUAUGGUGAGUAGAGAUAUCGUAUUCACAAGGACUAAAAGUAUUAGAAAUUACUAUUUUUAUAUUAUUUAGCCGACAGUUUGGAGUGAUGAGUUUUAAACUAAAAUUACUAAACUAAUUUAACUAAAAACUCAACAGUGAAUAAAUUAGGAAAAUAAUUGAAUAAUAACCAAUGAUAGAGACAAUACCCAGGAAAGAAUCCACCUAGGCUUCACCUAUUAUUAUGAAUUUGAAUUAAACGAUUUAUUCACUUGGUAUCUUGAUCCGUACAAACCCCUAAAUUAUGUUAAUAUCUCUUUCGAGAGUAAGAAAACUGACUCUAGGUUAAUUAAUUGAAAUCUCUUUGUAAUUAAAACCCCUACCAUCGCAUUAACUUGAUCUAUGGAUUCCCUUAAUUGAUUUGACUCUAAUCUAGUAGAUUUAUGUCGUCCUAUUUUUAGGAUUGCAUGCAACUCCACUCAAUUAUACUACAACGACUCUUAAACAGGGAUGUUUCCUCCAGUAAAUUAAGCACAUUAAAUAUGAAUUAAUAUCCCAAAAAUAUUUAAAAAAAAAGAAAUAAGCACAUAUAACUGAGAACAAGAAUCAAGUAUUUAUGAUGUAAAAUAGAAAUUAAAUAAUAGAAUUCAUCAUAGGUUUCAUCUUCUCUAGGUAUCUAGGGAAUUAGUUCAUAAUUCUGAAUAAAAAUAUUUCAAAGUUAGAAAAACCACAAGAAAUAAAGAAACUCAUAAAAAUUGCAAAAGAAAUUAAAAGAAGGUAUUCGAUCUUGAUGGGAAUCUACUUCAGAGUUGGCUCCAAUGGUGUUCGUCAAGUUGUUUUCUUCAAUAUUCUCUGAUGGCUCCCAUAUCUCCUCUUCUAUUUGUAUUUAUAGAUUUUAGAAUGCUCAGAAAGCCUAAAAAUUGCGUUUUCCCACAUGUUUGGGAAGCAAGUUGCGAAUUCGACACGAUCUGACACAUGUUCGUGUGUCCAACUCGUGUGGCUUCUGAAAUAUGCUCUUUUUGUCCAAUUUUCACUCAUUUUUAACUCAUUUAGCUCCCAAAUGCUACCUAAGUAAAGGAACAUGAAUUCAAAGGAUUAAGAGCAUCAAAGUCACCAAUUUGCAUAAAGAAUCAUCCGAAAAUGCAUUAAGAACGGGAUUAAAAUAUGUUAGUUUUAUCACUUAUCAUGUACCAGCAAUCACAUCAGGAGCGACAACCUCUUUUCUAGCCUAGAUUGCAUAAGCUCUGGCUGGUGCAACCCUCCAAUCUCGCAGUCAUCUCGUGUGUUAUACUGCGACUAGCUCCUACAUUAUUUCCAGGUCCCUUUUUUCUACCUCUCUACUAAGUGGUCAUUGGUUUGGUAACUUGUUUUGAGUAAUCUCAAUCUUAUGUGGACAAUUCCCCAGAUAAUGCAUUGUUAACAUUCUUGAUACUACCCAGAUUGGUGAUGGAUGUAGUUUAAGUCUCGAAUUAUUAUGUCAUGAUUGAUCUCUUCUCACAUAUCCAGGAGGUGUGAACUUUUUUAAAAAAACAUUAGACUAUUUUGGUGGAGUAGGAAAAGAACUAAACGUACUCCGCUUGCUUGAAUCCUUAUGUUUCAUUUCAACUCGUUUCUUUGUGUUACAUAUAUCUUCCAUUUUUCAUGCUAUAUCAGCCAAAGCAACAACCUCCUUAAUUUCAAGAGCUCCAACCAACAUCUGAAUUAUUUAUUCAAACCCCACUCAAAAUGAGUGCACAUUUAAGCUUUUAUGGGAACUAUCUCUCGAGCAUAUUUGAUGCAAGUCUCAAGGCCCAAUUUCAAGCCCACGGAUGUCAUGGGCUUACACUACCUCAAGGCCAAAUAACAAAUAACAAUGUCAAAGGCCAAGAAAAUCAAACCAAGAUUUGAUCAAAGACAUUAUAUGAGGAUGAAUAUUUUUAAGGAAAGAGGGAAUGAUACAUGCACAGAUUGGGUGAAAUUUAUUAAAGUCAAUUCAACCAAACUAUCAAAUUUCAUGUUGAAAAGAUUAGUCAGCUUGCGGUGAAUUGUUGGAUGGGAUCCAGUCAUUUAUGGGCUUAUAUGUCUUAAUAGCAGUUGAAGACCUACCUCUUAACUUUGAAACACACUUUGAAUCACUCAAUUUUGAGUUUUGGAGUGAAAUUUAUGAUCAUUUUAGUGAAGACUGUGUGAGCAAAAUUUCUGGACGAGAUUAUUAUGGAAAUUAUGAGUUUUGGGUUUUUAUUCGAGUUUAAAUCAUAUUGGUGACCACCACCAAACGUGCGAACAUUUGGAAAGAAAAUAUUGUAGAAAAAGAUAUAGAAAUAAAACAGCAGUGUCUACAAGUAUACGGAUCAAAUUGUAAUACAGUAAAGUGCUACAAUAGAACAAAGGGAAGUAUUCUGAGGGUUGUACCCAAUGGAGGACGAAUUAAAUCAGAAAUCUACUUCUACAAUAACAAGUCUAAAUAGUAGUAACUAAAACUUAUACUAUGACAAACAAUAAAAUAGUUGAUAAGCAUAAACUAAAUUAAAUAAACAGAAAAUAGACUAACAACUAAAUCAGGUUAACAGACAAAAGAUUAACUCGUUUCAGUGGUUGUAGUUAACAUCAGAAUUUGGGUUUAAAUGAAAUUAAGUAUUAAUUAACUAGUAUUACCUCCCGGCCUCUACUAAGUAACUAAUUGACAUGUACUUGCUUAUCUUUCAACCUCACUUUCCCCACCUGGAUAAAUUACGAUUUUAACCCUCACAAUGCUUUUGUCACACUCACAAUGCUUUUAACCCUCACAAUGUUUUUGCUCCCACAAUUCAUUUUAAUUUAAGCACAGGCUUGUAAAAAUUAUACUUAUUAUACUGCACCAUUUCAAUAACCAUGAAUUUAUUUGUUGAGUACUUUAAUUCAAACACCAUAUGAUUAAGCAUAUAUAAAUACCUAUUCGUAUCUAUCUUUAUCAAUUUACAUUUAAUUUUUUUCCUAUUCACAGUUUAAUAAGUUGAACUAAUUAUUCUAAAUAUAAACAACCUAUAUUAUUUAUUUUCAAGCUAAAUUUAUAGUUUAAACAAUCAACCUAUGUAUAUGUUUCUAACCAAUCACUUGUAUUUCUACUAGCUCAACCACAUGGAAAACACACAACAACAACAAAAAUUUAACUACUAAAAUUGAUUAAAAACAAAACAGAAAUAAUAAAAAUUUAACUUUAUGUGGCAGAGAUUACCCGAUAAGCUUGAAAAGUUCUCGAAUUUUGUUGGGCGGUCUCAUCCUCGUUGGUGAAGCUCUGAAUUUUUAGAGCCGUAAAAAAUUGUGGGGGUUCUUACAUAAAACAAAAUACAACUACAACCUACCUAAAAAAAUAAAAUAUUCUUAAGCCUAAAAAUUAAAAAUAUCCCACCAAAUAAAAUAUCCAAGUCUUAACAAGAAAAUAAUAAUUAAGUUAAAAAAGAAUAUAUAUAUAUAAAUUGUUUUGAUUUAGUCGAGAUUUAUUUUUAACUCCUCGUCGUCGUCUUCUGGAUCCACUUCUUCUUCUGGGUUCUCUUCAUCUUCUUCCGAAUCUUCCUCUUCCUCAAUGUUGCUAGUAUUGGUAUUAGCAUGGCAUUUAACGAAAGGAAACUGUGGCAUCCGUAGUUUGUUCCUUCUUGCAUGGUUUUCAUAAAUAGGUCAUGCUUCUUGCAUCCAACGCUUUAUCCAUUUGGAAUUCAGAAAGUAACUUACACCUUGAUUUGGCUUGGUAUAUGUUCCGUUUGCAUUUCCAAUCAUCCAUGAAUUGCUUCAUGCUUGCUUGUUGUAUUGGAUUCGUCAUCGGUUGCCAAAUACGUCCAGAACGUCAUAUCGGUAUCUUUUCUCAUUUACAUAAUGUUGUCACUGGAUGGGCAAAAAGUAAUUCAACAUUGGCUUUCGAACCCAUCAAAUCAUGCUCCGAUAAAUCCAUGUCCCCAAAUAGAUUAUUUCUUUUUGUAAAAUUGCAUAUAAUAAAGUAGCCUAAAAAGUAUCAAUGUUCGACAUAUCUACCGUAGGGAAAAUUUGACUGCUGAUAAAUUGUAACAACAUCCUCGCUUUUGGAGAUUGGUCCACUUGCGGGAAUGAUGUCGAGUAGUGUGUCCCCAGAUGGCAUUUCCAUUCAUCACUUCCAUCGAUAACACUUCGAUAAUCCUGUUCAUGUCAAUAUUCUGGAAAAAUGUUAAAUCACUUCCUUUCACAAAGUCAUAUAGAAACAAAGGAAUAUUAUAAUAUUUCAAAAUCUUCGAAGGUGAAACAAGAAUUCUUUUCCUUGAACUAUUAUCUGUGAUCAUAGCUCAUCGCUCGAUCGCUUUAAGUCAGCCUCUUACGUAGCAUAGAACUCUUGAACAACCAAUGCUUGAAAAUUUCGUUGGAAGUCGACAGAAAUUCUCUCAUCUAUGGUAAUGAACUAUUUCUCUUGUAUCAUCGUUUAGCACAGACAAGGAUUCAAAUCCUCUUUCUUGAAGGGGUGCUUUUUGCUUGAUUUCCUAGAGAUGACUCUUAAACUCUUUCUCUUUUACUUUGAUUUGAACGAAUUUGUCAAAACAUGAUUCACUUUCGGGAAUAUGUUUGUGCAUAUUUUCGAGGAUGAAAAACUCAAAAAAUUGUAAGGAAGAAUUGACUAGAGAAUUACUUUGGUGUUUCAGGGUGGCUUGGGGCUUUGGCUACUACUCACGGUGAUUUUAUAAGGGUUUUUAGUGUAACAACCCAUUUUCAGUAGUGUUGAAAAUAGUGAUUUUGGGACCACAAUUUUGAUGAGUGAAUUAUUAUUUUAAUAUUUAUUUAAAGUCUAUGAGAUUAUAUUAGGGGUCCUAUUAAAGUUUCGUAAAGAAAUUUUGAAAUUUAAAUGGUUAAUUAGGUAAAAAGGACUAAAUUGAAAAAGGUACAAAAGAUGGAUUCUAUUAAUUAAAUUGAUUAAAUGGCUUUAAAAUUAUAAUUUGAAGGAUGUAGUUGGUAAGUAUACCAUAUUGUAUGCUAGUGGAUGUGCAUGGAUAGGUUUUAUUAUAAAUAAAGUGAAUUUUAAAGGAUAAUAUAGUAAGUUAAUAAUUAACACUAAAAUAAACUAAGCAAAUGCUAUCGUCUUCUCCAUUUCUUCAUUGUUUGGCCGAGUCCACCAUUUUUGAAGGGAGAGCAUUCCACUAUUCCUUCUACUUUGCAUGGUAUGAUUUUGUGUCCUAUUUUUAAUGAUUUUUAUGUUUUUUAGCUCGUUUUAGCUUAGUUUAGCUAACCUAGAGGUUAAUUUGAAAAAUUGUUAAAGGUUGAGGGACUUGAUAUGGUUGGCUAUUUUUGAAGAUGAUUCGAUGUUAAUUGAUAGAUUAUUAAUCUUGGUUGUUAAACAAACUUGUUUUGUUAAGUGAUUUUUGAUGAAUUUUGAAAUAGGGACUAAAUUGUUGAAAGUGUAAAUCAAUGGGUUUUAUUGUAAAGUUUUGGUAAUUAUGGGUUUUUCCAAGGUCUCUUUUAGCAUUGGUUAAUAUGGAUUUAGGUUAAAAUGAUAAAUAUUCAAGUUAUGAGUUUAAGGACUAAAAUUGUAUAAAGUUAAAAUAUUAGCGAUAAUUUUGUAAUUUUACAUAAAUAUGAAUUAUGGAUUGAAUUGAGUUGAAUACUUGAAGUACUUAAUUGGAUGAAAUUAUCUAAUUAGAUCAAGAUAAAAAAAAUAGGACUAUAGUUAUCGAGGUCAGUUCGUAUGAAUUAUAAUCAUAUUAAUGAUAGCUAAAUUUAUUAUUUACUAUAUUGUGUUAAUAUAAAUGGACUUUAAAAUGCUUAUGUAUCGAUUUUUUAAGUAAUUGACGGAUAACGAAUCCCGUUUGAACCUUAAGAAUUCUUAGGAAACGAAUGACAUGUCAUUAGGGAUUUCAUGUUUUGGGUGUUGGUCUUGAAUGUCCUACCGAUGGAUGAGGUCCUACAUUUGUUGCAGAUUCUCCACAUCUCACGUGAGAAGCAUCGUGUAGCUAACAUUCCAACCCACAGCUCGUGUGAGUAGGCCCAUUUCAUAUAUCGUGUGAGCAUUAUUGAAAAGGAAAUGUUACGAUUAUAUGGGAAGGCACACUAUGUGUGAUCAUUCCUGAGUACCUGAUGUAAUAGCUCGAUUUAGGGCUUAGUCAGAACAGUGGUUUCAGGACCACAAAUCUGACUAGGAAAAAUAUUAUUAUUAUAUUUUUAUGUUCUAUGAUUUCAUGGAAAGUUUUCGUAAAAUUUUUGUUCAAAAAUUUUGAAGUUUAAGCACUCAAUUUAGUCAAAAGGACUAAAUUGUAAAAAGUGCAAAAGUUGAGUUUUAUAUGUUAAAGGUGUUUAAUUGUUAUGGAAUCAUAAAUUAGGGGUCAUUAUGUGGUAAUUAGACCAUUAGUUAAUGAUGGACAAAAAUGGGCAUGAAAUAAGUGAAAUAGGAUUUUUUAAGAAAGGGCAUUUUAGUCAUAUGGUAAAUAAAUAGAAUUAAAUGAGAAAAAGAUGGAAAAUAUGCUCAUCUUCUCCAUAGUUGCUGCCGAAUUUUAGAAGACACCAUAGCUAAGGUUUCUUUGCUUUUUCAAGCUCAUACUAAGUGCAUCCUAUCCCCGUUUUUAAUGUUCUUUGCAUUUUUGAGAUUCUCGUAGCUCGAUUUAUCUAUUUUUACUGUUAAUUCGAGCUAAGGUUUAAAUUUGAAAAAUUACCCAUUUGUGAAAUUUGUGUAUUUUGAUUUUUUAUGGAAGAUUAUGAAGUUAGAAAUUAUGUUAAACAAUUUUUGCUAGUCGAUUUUAAGUGAAACCGAUUAAAAUAACAGAAUCGGUAAAAAAAUACCUAAAGCUCAUACGUAAUAGUUAGAGUGAGAAUUGGAUGUUGCUAUAAGAGGGAAAAGUGUUCAACAUGUGACAAAACAUAAGAAUAAAGAAUAAAAUUUAAUUUCUGAACUUUAGGGCAAAAAUGUAAUUAUGCAAAAGUUUAGGGACAAAAUCAUAAUUUUGUCAAAAGUUGAGUCGAACCUUGUUUUAAUAAAUGUGAAAGUUAAACAAGCUCAAUUUGCUAUUAUAGAUCAAGAAAGACGAGAUGUCAACCUUAAUCGAGGAAAAGAGAAGAUUGGGGAUUAAAUUGCAAAAUCUCUACAUUUUGUAUCGAGGUAAGUUGUAUGUAAUUAAUACAUUGUUAUAAUUAUUUUUGUUAUAUUUCGUGACAAUAUAUGUGAAAGGGUUGAAUAUGAAAUAGUUAUAUAUAAAAGUUAGAAUUUUGAAAUUGAUAGUUGAUCUGUUUAAAAUCAGCUUGGUCUAUGGAUAUACCAACUGCAAGUAAUGAUUGAAGUGAUUCAAUUUGAAUUAUUAAAUUGGUUAUCGAGUUGAGUGGAAAGAUUGAUAUUAUGAUGUGUUAUGGAGAAAUUGUAAAUUUUUUGGAAGUAAGAAUCUUUGUGGAACUGUCGGAAUGGUAAAGAUUUGAAUAAAGUAUCGAUGAACAUGUGUGUAGUACUAUGUGAAGGCUACUACGUGUAUCGAUAAAUAAUGGUCACAUGUGUAGUACUAAGUGAAGGAUACUAUGUGUACUGAAAAGCUUUGGUCACGUGUGUAGUACUAUGUGAAGGCUCCUACGUGAACCGUAAAACUUGAUCACGUUUGUAGUACUAUGUGAAGGCUACUACGUGUAUCGAAUGAUAAUACUAACAUGGGUGGUACUAUGUGAAAACCCCCAAAUAUUUGUUGUUAUACCGACAUGUUCAAUGAGAUAUGAUUAUGUGAUUGAAAUGUGAUAAGUUGCGAAAGAGUAACUGAAGUGAUGAAGUUUUGUACUGUGUUAUAAAAUAAAUGGUUAUAGUGCUAUGUGAAUGAGAGAUGUUGGAAUAGAAUAGAUUUGGACGGUGACAAUGAUGUUAGUUUGAAAAAUAACCAAAAAUUAUAGGAAUUUAGUGAUUGAAUAAGACAUGGAAUUAAAGCUUAAUGAGUCUACUUUCACAUAAAAGAGAAAGAAUGGCCAAAGCAGUUAUAUAUUCUGAGAUAUUGGAAUUUUAGUGAGACAAGGUCUGAAUGAUUUCGAAAUCCUCUAUUUUGACUUUGGAAAAUUACUAAAAAUUAUAAAAAAAUAAUUAUGUUUGUAAUUUACAUUCUUAAAUUUCUUAUUGAUUCUAUUUUCAAAAUAAAUAAGUGGUAACUUCAUUUGAAUUUUGUACUAAGAGAUAACUGACUUUUAGUGAAGAGAGUUCAGAAAUGUCAACCAGUGAAACAAGGGUGAAUUUAGAGAAUAAACUGUACUAAUUGGCUUAACCAAAAAUUCUGAAAAUUUUAUGGUAAGAAGGUAUAUGUGUCCAGUUUCAUGGAAAUUUUACAGAUCUUAAUUUGGAGUUCUGUAGCUCCAGAUAGAAAUAAUUUAGUGACUAUGACGCAGAAAAAUAGUUUGCUGAAAAUUGAAUAAAUAAUAGAUUUAUGUGUGAUAAAAAUUAUAUUAUCCAUGGUAUCCUGCUAGAAAUUUAUCUAUCAGUUACAUACUUACUUACUAAGCUAUAUGUUUACUCCUCUUUAUUUUAUCAUGUUUUAUAGUGACAUCAAUCAGCUCGAAAAUUGGACGAGGUCAGAACAUCAUCCACACUAUCAUCAUCAUCUUUUAGGUAUUUUGCAACCAAUACUUUUGAAAUGUGGCAUGUAUAGAUGACUUAAUGUAAUGUGAUAUAAAUAUAUAUAUAAUAUUGUUUGGUUUAAAAUGUUGGUGUAUAUUAAUUGAUAAAUUGUUUUCUUAAAACUACUAACAAAGUAUUUAGAAUGUUGUGGAUGGAUAAAUUGUGUCUGAACAUAUAACUGAAUCUGGUUGAAAUAUUGAAGUUGUUUGAAAUUGUGUUUCAAAAAUUUGCAAGAGGAAUUGAAUGUUUAUGAAAAGUAAUUAUGUCAAAAUUUUUGUAAAAAAAAUAGUAAAAAAAUUCAGAUCGUUUGAUAAUACUUCUUACCUUGCUUCAUAUGAUGAAUAUGGGUAAGAGGUGUUACACCCGAUGCAAUUCUAGUUGGUUCAAUGGGUAAGUAAAGGAAAUGGCAUGGUAAGUAUACAAUUGAAAUGUUUCAUGAUCCUAUGAAAAGGUUUAUGAGUUAAAUGAUGUGUACAUGAAAUCUACUUAUUAUAUGAUUGAACUCAUAUGUAUCAUGGAUGAACCUACUAACUUACGAGUUUGAUGGUGCUUGUAAAGGCUUUUACUAAGCUUAUGGUCUUGGUAAUGAUAUUAUGUUUAUUCCAUAGUUUGUGCUAAAAAAAUGGUAAGUUAUGUUAGAGUUUAUACGAGCUUAAUAAGCACUAGUUGCUUACGUAGUUACUUUCCUUUGUUUCGUAGAUUGUUAGAAUCUCGAUCAGUUGGAAGCUUGUCAGAGAUCUAUCACACUAUCCAGCAACCAUUUCAGUAGUUUUUGAGUAUUUUUACCAAGGUUAUAAAUGGCAUGUAUAGGACCUUUUGUAAUGGUAGUUCAUGAAUGUGUUAAUGGUUGAUUUGAUAUGUAUAUGCUUUUGAAGUUUAUGUUUGGUUUGAUGGACUUUUAAUGCCUUGAAAAGUUAAGUCAUGUUGGGCACUUUUAGGUACUUGAAAUACAUGAUCCUUGUUGGUAUGCUUGUGAUGAAAUGUAAAUGGUUAUAUGUGAUUUUAUUAGUUAAAGAAACUAGGUUCUAUGCUUGAAAUGUGACUAUAUUACUUUGAUUUGAUCAUUGAUGUUUUGAUAUGAAUGUGGUGCCUUUGAAUGACAUAUUGGUUAGCUAAAAUAGGAUGUUGAAAUGGUAUGUUUAUAAGUGCUUGAAUGAUGCUUAGGUAAAUUGAAUGUGUGCACAAAUGGGAUGGAUGGUUAGAUAUGUUUUGGCCUUGAAAUGGCUUGUUUUUAGGGUCAAACUAUGGAUCACACGGCCUGAGACACAGGCUUCCACACGGCCGUGUGUCAUUUGUAAAUUGUUAGUGUAUCAAGUUAGUGUGUUACACAACCUAGCACAUGGCUUGUGACACGGCCAUGUGUCGCAUGUCAAAUAGUUACACAGUCAAGCACACAGCCUACGACACGACCCUGUGACCCAAAUCAGUGCAUUACACGGGUUGAGACACGGGCUGGGACACGGUCGUGUGUCCCUUUGUUCGAUUGUUACAUGGCUUAGGGUAUGUCACACAGCCAGGCCACAUGGUCGUGUGACCCUUGUUUUCAAAUUUUACAACUUUUUUCUCAAAUCUUCUGAUUUGUUUCAAAUUAGUCCUGAAUUGCUUCUGAAUUACUUUUAGGGCCUUUAAGGCUCAAGUUAAGGCCCAAAUGCAUAUGUUUGAUAGGUUGUUAAUGAGAUUUAUUUAAUUAAUGUUAAAUGAUUUCAUUGAAGAUGGUUUGAUGUUAAAUGUUGUUUUAAUUGUUCAGCAAUGCUUCGUAAAACUAAUCUAGUGACGGAGACGGGUUAGGGGUGUUACAUUUAGGGCAACUUUGGCGUGUAAUUCAUGCAAUAUUGAAAGAUUUCGUUUGUCUGGGAAAAAAGGAAAUUUGUUGAAAUCUUUACGUGUAUUGCGACACAAAUCUGAUAUCUCCAAUUUUCUUGUUCCGAAGUUGUGUGUCGCAACAUAUGAGUGCAUGUGUCACAACAUGACCUUAAAUAUGCUAAUUUUCUUUUUUUGGUUCAUGUCGGAGCCCUCAAAUUGUCCAUAGUUACCUUGGACAACUUUGUGCUUCACUUCUCGCUUCCUAAAACUUUUACCUACUAAGUCUAACACAAACUAUGAAAGAAAAAAAUCCUUAAAACUAAAAUAAGAAUUAAUUUACAAUAUAUACAAGUUUAAUUUAAUUGUUGAUGGUUUGCUUAUGUAUUUCUACCGAAAUUGUUCGACAAUUCGUCAAGUUGUACUAUCAAAAUUUUCUUCCUUUGUGAACAAUCCUCGCUUGUCCAAUAUAAUCCAUUCCAAUCAAGACCUUUCCAUUUGUCAUGCUUCCUUGAAUUUGAUUUACCUGCACUUACACAACUUCGCACGUACCUUUGAUCAAGGUAUUAGGGGUUAAAUAAAAUAAAACAAAGCAUUCCUUCCCUAAUAAUUCAUCGCUUUGGGAAUCAAGGCCACAUUUGAACACAUCUAUUUCACAAUUGAUUUUCAUUAUCAAUUCAUUUUUUCAAAUUCGAUAGCCGAUCUAGAUGUGGCUAAAAAUGGUCUACCCAAUAGAAUGGGAAUUUCUCGGUCUUCUUCAAAAUCGAGAACUACAAAAUCUACUGGUAUUAUGAAACCCCUUACUUUUGGGCAUGAUGGAAAUCUAUUAGCUAAUUGUAGUGCUAUCGAAGUAUUACUUAACUCCCCUAAUUCGAGUUUUUGGUAGAUUUAUAGGGCCAUUAGGUUAAUGCUAGCACCAAAAUCACAAAUGGGCUUUGCUGAAAUGCUUAUCCCCUAUCUCUACUAGAAUUUUAAAGCUCCCUAGAUAUUUUAAUUUAGGGGAGAAUGUUUUUCGCAAUGAUAGGACUACAUGGGGCGUCAAUAUCAAAUUGUUUACCCUUUUUUAGUCUUUUAUGCCCUGCCAUGAUUUCUUUUAAGUAUUUUCCAUAUUUAGGAAUUUUAUCGAUGAGUUCUAAGAGUGGAAACUUAACAUUGAAGGAUUUAAUAAAGUUAAUAAAACUUACAAAAUUUGCCUCAUCCUUCCUUUUUUUGUCCUCUAACCUUGAUGAGAAUGGUGCCUUUGUUAUGCUUGGUUUUGAGAUUACCAGUUCAACUACCAGUUUUACUGGUUCUUUGCUUGGCUCUUCGUGUUAGAUUCCUUUCAUGGGUUCAUUGACAGAUUCGAGAAAAGUCUCUUCUUCAUUUAUGGGUACAUUUGGGUUGUCAAGUUUUUUCCUCGAUCGUAAGGUGAUCACAUUCACAUGUUCUUUCCCAUCUUUCUAAGAUUUGUUCUCCGUGUUACUAGGGAUACAUUGGCCGAUAUGUUUUUGUAACAAGCCCAUUAUCUGGCGCAUCUGCUCCUUCAUGUCAUUCAUAUCUACACGCAUAGCUUGCAUCUCCAUUUCAAUUCGAUUGAAUCAUUGACCACAUACAACAUGUCUGUAUCCCAUGGAUCUUUCUUGAGUUCUUUGCACAUGCAGUGGUUGGUACGUAGGAUUCAGUCUAUUUUGCACUAGGUUUUCCCCUCCUUGAUUACCUCCCCACCCGAGAUUCGUAUGAUCCUUCUAGCAAGGAUUAUAUGUAUUCGAAUAGGGAUUUCUACCCCUAUUACCAAUAUAGCUAACAUCCUCCUGUUGGUUUUCCCCCAUAUGCUUCUAAACGGUUGUUUCCAGCCAAUUCAGUUUCUCCACGAUUUGUUGAUAUUUUUCCUCGUUGCUGAUUGCUUUCAUUAUCGAGGGUUUUGGUUUGUAUGUGAAUCUCUUUAUCGCCAUGUCAUUUAUUUUUGGUAUUCUCUCCCAUAUGUGUGGUGCACAAGAGAUCCUUCGACUGUUCCGUCUAUACUAGCCUUGAUGUUACCGUCUACAUCGUUAUAGAAAUUUUGGACGUAGAGCCAUUUUUGCAAUCCAUGAUGGGGGAACUUUUGUAUCAUCGAUUUGAAACACUCCCACACCUCGUACCGUGUUUUACCUUCACUUAUAGGGAAAAUUUUGUGAAGAAAUGUUUCCACUAAUUCAUUUCAUGUUGUGAUGGAACCUAUUUCUAGUGAAUCUAAUCAUUUGACUGCAUUAUCACAUAAUAAGAAGGGAAAUAACUAAAGAUGAACAUCAUCAUCGGUUACUCCAUUAUACUUAAAGGUACCACAAAGUUGAAUGAAUCUCUUCAAAUGUUGAUUCGGAUCCUCCAUCAUAUUUCCCUUAAACUACAAUGUGUUCUAGAUCAUCUGGGUUGUAGUCAUUUUUAUCUUGAAAUUAUUGGCAUUGAUGGUCGGUCUUUCAGUACUAUCCAUCACGACAUCUAAUGUCGAUAGUGCAAAUUCAUGCAACGUUCGUUGAGCCAUCAGUAACUCUCCACGGAUUUGUUCUUGUUGUUCAAGUAGAUCGUCAAAUAAUGGGUUCUCUCUAGGUAAAUCAAUUACCGUGACAAGAUCAUCUUCCCUUACUUGACAAUGAUACUUGAGGAGUUGCUUCGGAUCAAGGUAAGACUCGAUUGGAAUGCUUAUGCUUCGAGUCAUACAUAAAAACCUAAGACAUAAAAAUAAAAGUUAGUAAUUAAACAUAAAAGAAAAGAAAUCGUAUCUAUAAAUUUUAACUUUCCUAUUUAUGUUAUUAGUAGUAGAAAUAAUAUUCCAAUUUAAUGCCAAAACCUCCCCGACAAUGGUGCCAACAACUUGACCACAGCCAAACAAAUAAUUUUUUGGACAAAAAAUAUUGCAACAAAAGGUAUAGAAAUAAAAUAGCGGUGUCUGCAAGUAUAAGAGUCAAAUUGUAAUAUAGUAAAUUGUUACAACAUAACACAAGGAAGUAUUUCGAGGAUCGUAUCCAAGGGAGGAAAAAUUAAAUCAGAAAUCUAGUUCUACAGUAAGAAGUCUAAACAACAGUAUUUGAAACUUAUAUUACGGCAAUCAAUAAAAUAGAUUAAAGGCAUAAAAUAAAUUAAAUACACGUAGAUUUGACAAACAAUUGAAUCAGGUUAACAUGCAGAAGAUUAACUCGUCGGUGGUUGUAAUUAACAUCGAAAUUUUGGUUAAAAUGGAAUUAACUAUUAUUUAACUAGUAUUACCUCCCGACCUCCACAAAUUAACUAAUUUGUAGGUACUCACUUAUCUUCUGACCUCACUUUCUCCACCGAGAUAAAUUACGAUUUACUCAAUAAGCUUAUCUCCAGACAUCAUUUAACCUAAAUUACUUCCUAGGGUCAUCACAGGGUUUAGGCACACAUAAUUUAAAAACAGUUAAUUCUUACAGGAAACUCACAUUCCUAAGUUAACUACUCCCACACCCACUCGUUAGUCUCCCUAGAGACUUAGCCUCUCAUGGAUCUAGAUGUAAUAACUCUUAAAUUUAAUUUCAACAUGCAAAAGAAAACAAAUAAAUUAAAGUAAUAAAAAGGGUAAAGAAAUUGCUUAGUUUAUUGAAUCAGAUGUGCUUAGAGUUGUAUAAUUUCUCAAUCGUUAACUGAUCUUAAUGUCUGCAAAAGAACAAUAAAAUAAAUUGUUGAAUAUUUAAUAGAAAAGAAUUAGGUUCAAACCAAACCUAGUCGAAAAGAACAAAGUUUUCAUGAAACGAAAUAAAACAAACUAAAACCUAAAUCUACUAACUACGGCUCCUAAAGACUUGCGCACAUAUUGGUAAUAACCUUUCUAUUUAUAAUGAUGUUUAGAAACACUAAUUAAGUCUAUUACAGGCCAUAAUCCUGGAAAGUAUUGAUUGUGCAAAUGAUUUUAGCCUUGUUGAGUCUUGUGCCCCACAUUCAGACCUAUGUCGUGACACAACCAAGGUGUGUCACAACACGACACUAAUUUCCUAAGGUUGGAGUUCCAGUUUCUCGUAGUACGCCUCUGGAAAGUUUUGCUACACUCGAGGUCGUCUUUAAGGUUGUUAGGCUACUAAAUACACAUCUUGCACACUCAAUUUAACAUAUUAAAACUAAGGCCCGAAUUAACCUAAUAGGUCAACUAGCAUAAUUUAUUUUGAAAAACAUUUAGUUUGUAAAUAAUUAAACCUAGAAUACGAAAACAAAAAUUACGAUAAUUAAACGUAAAAUGGCCAUAAAACAAGCCUCCUAAGUGUCAAAAAGUACUAAAACUACCACCACGUUUGGCGGUAGGUCAAUUGGGUUUGAGUUUCAGGCUUAUUGUGAGACCAAUAUUGUAUUUAUUAAGUUUUAUUAUUUUAUUAUUUGAUUAUUCUGAAUUUUGGAUAAUUUUUUAAGUAUUUUAAUUUAUUUAGGAGUUUUAUGUCAACUAGAAAGUUUAGUUUAAAACUACUUCUUAUUUAGGGUAAUUAGAGUUUCAGUAUACUUAAAAUUUUAUUUAGAUGUACUUAGCUAGCCUAUAUAAAGGUCUAUUCAUUGCAUAGAAAUCAAUUAAUUAUUAUUCAACAACUUCUAUUUUGAUUUAAUAAAUUCUCUUCGAGUUUUUAUUUUCAAGAAUUUCUCAUAAAUUUUCUUUUAGUAGAGUUCUAACAAUCUUUUCAGAUUGCAGAGAUCAUCUUAAAAAAUUUUCUUGCCAAGUUUUCUUUAUUGGAGGGGAAAUUAGAGUCGUUUGAAGGGGGUUAUGGAUUCUUCUUUCCCAAGCUCUUUAAGACUUCUACAUGUCACGUUCCAUCCUUUUCAUCUAUCUUCUUUAUUAUUUUCUUUAUGUUCUUCUUUAUUAUUCUAAUCUUUGAUUUAUUUUUCUUUUAUAUUUAUCUUAGUUAUUUAUUUUAAUUGAUUUCUUUAAUUUUUUUUAUCUAACUUGGAUUUGUAUCCGUUUCAAGUUGCAUCAAAGUCAAAGUUUCUUUCCAAACGUCUAGAGCCUUAAGUUAAAUCCACAACUUGAAAAAACUUACAAUCAUGCUUCUCACUCAUCUGUAUCAUUUGGUAUUAGUUCCAAGGGUGCUUUACGUUUUCUUUGUGUUCUUAUAAACUGAUUUCCACCAAAUAGCCUCAAAAAAAAACUUUACAUAAAAAGUUUUUGGGAAAACAUAUUUUUGAGUGGCUAAAUAUUUUCCAAAUGGUCUGAAAUUUUACAUAUUGAUUCUUGGAACUCUUUUAGAAUAUUAAAAAAUAUUUUCCAAAACAAGUGAUCGAAAAAGUGGGAAAAACAGAAAAAUACGAAAAUAAAGAAAAAAUAAAAAAUUAUGUGGCUCGAAUUUUGUUUUGAAACUUUCCAAAUCAGAUCUGCAUUAUUUGAGGAGGCUCCAGUUUAAGUUUUGUGAUUUUUGAAAAUUAGGGAAACCUCGAACGAAGUUUGUCAAGUUGCUUCGCAAUUUUUCAAGUUUCAAUGAUUUUCAUUGACUCUUAGGCUUAGGUUUUCAUUUGUUUUUAUUUUUUAUUGUUCCUUUACACAUUCUAACACUUUAUUGUUUCUUGUGUUAAUAGGUUAAAGCACAUUGCACAUUCCCUUCCCCACGCAACACAAUUCUUUGGUGUUUAGCCGAUUUUGGACUCUUAGUGUUGCUAGGCUUGCGUUACUAGUUUCAUUCUAAUACAUUCUGAUUAGUUGAUAUAAAAACUUUUAAAAGAAUCACAAUAUUAAUUCUGACCUCAUUGAGAAUUUAACUUUAUUUCUAAGCACAUAAAGGUAAGGUUUGCUUCUUCUUUUUUUCUUUUUGAGUGUUUUGUUCUUUUCAAGCUUGCACAAUGACUCGUGAUACUCAUAGUAGAAAAAUGAGUGAUAAUCCAAAUGUAAAGCCACCAGUUACAACAGAGAACCUUGUUGGUUUCAUGUCAAAAUUACAAAACUACCUCUACGAGGUCAAUGAUAAGUUCAAACACUUGGUUAGCAAGAUACAACAAGAUCUAAAUGUUCGAGAAGCUAAAGAAAAACAAUGGGAUGUUCAAGACGAACAAUGGGAUGCUCUACUUUAGACAAUCUUGGAGUGCUUGAAUGCUCAAAAUGAACCUUUAACUCAUAAUUUUGGCAAUGAUGAUGGUGUUACGGUUGAACAACCUCAUGCUCGUGGAAGUAAUGCUAGACGUGCCCCUCAUGAAAAUGAUGAAAAUUUGGUUAAUAAUGAUCGUGGGUAGCCUUCUUUGGCUAAACCAAAGUUCUCUAUAUGGAAAGAAUGAUCCCAAGGCAUAUUGUGAGUGGGAAUAAAAAAUAGAACUUAUGUUCUGUUAUUAUAAAUACCUGAAAGAGGAAAAGGUCCUAUUGACAAUCCUUAAAUUUUUAGAUUAUGCGUUGAGUUGGUGGACUUAACUUGGAAUUAAUCGUCAAAGAAACUAUGAAAGGGAAAUUGAAACAUGGGACGAGUUGAAGCAAGUGAUACAAAAGUGUUUUGUUCAUUCUCAUUAGUACAGAGAGGUCAAAACGAAACUUCGACCCAUGUUCAAGGCCAUCGAUCAAUUGAUGAGUACUUCAAGAAAAGAUGGUCAAAUGAAAGAAAAAGUACAAUUGAUCUUUCACUUGUUAUGAAAUGUUAUUGGUGUAGUUCAAAAGAUCAUGAGGGUUUUCUAUGUCCAAUUAAAUGUCCAACUAGAAAGUAAUUAUGAAUUUCAGUUGAUGAGUACUUCAAGAAGAGAUGGUCAAAUGAAAGAAAGAGUACAAUUGAUCUCUCACCUAUUGUGAAAUGUUAUUGGUGUAGCUCAAAAGAUCAUGCGGGUUUACGGUGUCCAAUUAAAUGUCCAACUAGAAAUUAUGACUUUGUGCCUUUUGUUGACUAUUAUUCUAGUGGAAAAAAGAUUUGUGAUAGCAAAAUUUGUGAACUACAAAAAGAUAGUAGUCAGAUUUUUUCCUCGAAUCUGUGGAGUUAGAUUAGAUAAAAACAUCAUGUUCUCCUAUUAAGAUAUAUUGUACUGAAUUUAAUAUUCACAUACUUUUGAAGGGGAUAUGGGUAGUGAGGAAAAAUCAUGUGAAAAAAUUGAAAGAAGAGAGACCUUGCGUGAUAAAAGUGUAACACCCCUCACCCGGCCUAGCCGCCGGACCCGAGUUACAAGACACUACAUCAACAUCAUAAAUUUUACACAUCUACGCAUAAAUUUUAAGCAAGGAAAAUUGUUAAUAACUUAAUCAUUUAUAGAGUUGUUUACAACUUAGCAAACAUUAACCGACAUUAGAAACUGUUGUGCGAAAGCCUGUAAAAGAGUAAAAUUAUUGUACUAAAAAAUCACACUAAGUUUAAUUCCCAGGAAAGAGAGGUGGAUCACAAGGAUCACUUAAGUAUCAAGUCUUUCCUAGCCAGAAUAUUCCUCAAUCGUAAUUUAAUAGCACAAUAAAUCACUACAAUCACACUCACAAUUCAUGCAGAAUAAUACAAUAAAGAACACAAGAAUUUAACGAGGUUCAGCAAAUUUUGCCUACGUCCUCGGGCACUACCAAAUAUAUUUCACUCCAAAAUACAAGUGAGAAUUUACAAAGAGAGAGAGAGAGAGAGAGAACAAUGCCUUAGUAGAGAAUGGAAAAUAUGAUAUAUAGAAUGAGAGAUGGUUAUGUCUAUUUAUAGUUGAGGUUUAGGGAUCAACUUGCAAAGUCACUUUACAAUUAGGGACCAAAUAUUGUAAAUAUCUCAGAUUUCUCAUGCCAAUAUCUCGAUACCUAUAUCUUUUACUUUCCAAUAUUUGAUACCCAUACAUUUGACUUUAUUUGAUACCCAUAUCUUUGACUUUCCAUAAAUAUGGAUGAUUUCCAAUAAUCUCCACCUUGAAGAUUUGAUUCGAAUAAUCUUAUCUUCACACAAUUCUCUUUGCCUUUGUUAACAACACUUGAUAGUGCCUUCUUCAACUGUUAAACAUGCAGAAUAUUGAUCAAGUUCAAACAAUGUUCGAACUUGAUUGUUGUUACCACCUUGGUCAUCAUAUCUGCGGGAUUAUCUGCAGUCUUAAUCUUCUGAAGGUGAAUUUUCCCCUCAUCAAUAAUUUCUCGCAGAAAUUGGAAACGUACGUCGAUAUGCUUUGUACGUGCAUGAAAGACUUGAUUCUUUGCUAAAUGAAUAGCACUUUGACUAUCACAAUACACGUUAAUAUGCUUCUGAACCAAUUCCAAGGUUUUAAUCAUACCUUGUAACCAAAUAACUUCCUUUACAGCCUCUGUUACAGCCAUGUAUUCAGCUUCUGUGGUUGACAACGCAACUGUAGACUGCAGUGUAGACUUCAAACUUAUUGGUCCUCCAGCAAGUGUAAACACAUAACCAGUAGUUGAUCUUCGUUUUUCCAAAUCACCGGCAUAAUCAGAAUCAACGUACCCAAUAACACCUAUACCAAGUGUAGUAUCCUACUUGAAUAGUAAUCCAAUAUCCAUGGUAUUCUGAAUAUACCGUAGAAUUCAUUUCACAGCUUGCCAAUGUCCUUUUCCAAGAUUAUGCAUAUACCUGCUCACUAUACUAACUGCCUGUGAAAUGUCGGGCCUUGUACACACCAUUGCAUACAUCAAGCUACCUACUGUAUUAGAAUACGGAACUUGUAAAAUGUAUUCUUGUUCCGUAUUCGUCGAAGGAGAUAGUUGUGCAGAAAGCUUGAAAUGAGAAGCCAACGGGGUACUUACAGCUUUUGUCUGAUCGUUCAUGCCAAACUUCUGUAGUACCUUCUUCAAAUAUUGCUUCUGAGACAAACUAACUCUGUCAUGAGCUCUAUCUCUACAUAUUUCCAUGCCAAGAAUCUUCUUAGCUUCACCUAGAUCUUUCAUCUCAAACUCAAGGUUGAGUUGAGUCUUCAAUCUCUCAAUUUCAACUUUAUUCUUAUAUGCUAUCAACAUAUCAUCAACAUAUAAGAGCAAGUAUACGAAAAAUCUUUCUUGUUGCUUCUGAAAAUACACGCAAUGAUCAAAUUUACUUUUUGUGUACUUUUGCCUUUUCAUGAAUUGAUCAAAUCGCUUGUACCAUUGCCUCGGAGAUUGUUUCAAUCGAUAAAGUGACUUUUUCAGUUUGCAAACCCAAUUUUCUUUAUCAGCAACCUUGAAUCCAUCUGGCUGAGUCAUAUAGAUUUUCUCUUCCAAAUCACCGUGUAAAAAUGCGGUCUUCACAUCGAGUUGAACUGGUUCAAGAUCAUAUUGUGCAACCAAGGCUAGCAAAAUCCGAAUAGAUAAAUGCUUCACAACUGGAGAAAACACUUCAUUGUAGUCUAUUCCUUCUUUCUGAGCGUAACCCUUUGCUACCAAUCUAGCAUUGUAUCGAACUUUAUUUUUACCACGAAAUCCUUCCUUUUUUGCAUAUACCCAUUUGCAUCCAAUUGCCUUCUUUCUUUUGGGUAGUGUCAUCAACUCCCAAGUCCUAUUUUUAUGAAGAGACUGCAUUUCUUCAUUCAUAGCUUGCUUCCACUUUACACCAUCAGGGUUACUUCUUGCUUCUGUGUAAGUAGAAGGAACAUCAUCAUCAGCAAUUGGAAGUGCAUAGGCCACCAUAUCAUCAAAGCGAGCAGGCAUAUGAAUCUCUCUUCUUGGCCUCCUAUAUGCAAUUGAAUCAUGUUGUUGUAGAAGUUCUUGGGUCGAAACUUCUUCAUCAUUUGUUCCUUCAAUAUUAGCUGGAUCAUCAUUAACCUUUUCAAGCUCCACCUGCUGCAAAGUGCCACUGGUUUUGUUAUCCUUUUGUGACUCCUUGUUCUUCAUCAUGGUUGAUUCAUCAAAAGUCACAUCUCUACUGAAAACAAUCUUCCUUGUAUUAGGACACCAGACACGGUAUCCUUUUACUCCACCAGCUAUACCCAUAAAUAAUGCUUUCUUUGCUCUUGGGUCUAACUUAGAUUCUUUUACAUGAUAAUAUGCAAUGGAACCAAAAACAUGUAAAGAAUCAUAAUCAGUAGCAGGUUUACCAGCUCACCUCUCCAUAGGAGUUUUUCCAUUUAUUACAGCUGAUGGCAACCGGUUAAUUAGAUGGCACGCAUAUGUAACUGCCUCAGCCUAAAAUUCCUUGCCCAAUCUAGCAUUGGACAACAUACAUCGAACUUUCUCCGGUAUAGUCCGAUUCAUACGUUUUGCCACCCCAUUCUGUUGUGGUGUAUCUCGAACAGUAAAGUGUCGCACAAUGCCCUCGUCUUGACAUACUUGUAGAAAUGCAUCAUUCUUGUACUCAGUACCAUUGUCUGAUCGAAGUCGUUUGACCUUUCGACCUGUCUGCGUCUCCACCAUCUUCUUCCAUUUCAUAAAUGCAUCCAAAACUUCAUUUUUCCUUUUCAUUUGAUACACCCAUACUUUUCUUGAAUAAUCAUCAACAAAAGUAACAAAAUAGUGCAUACCUCCUAAAGAAGCCACUUUAGUAGGUCCCCAUACAUCACUGUGAACGUAGUCCAGAAUUCCUUUUGUAUUGUGAAUUUCUGAACCAAAUUUUAUCCUCGUCUGCUUGCCCAGAACACACUGUUCACAGAAUUCCAAUUUGCAAGAAUUUGCACCUUUCAACAAGCCUUGCUUCGCCAAACUCUGCAAAGCUUUUUCACCAGCAUGUCCCAAUCGCAUAUGCCAUAACCUGGUAGCCUUUAAAUCUGCAUCUUUCACAGAAGCUAUUGAUGUUGAUCCAAUAACUGUACUUCCAUUUAAAUAGUAUAGAUUAUUCUUUCUUGUGCCUUUCAUCACCGUCAAUACCCCAGCUACUACCUUUAGUAAUCCAUCUCUCAAAGUGAUUGUGAGCCCUUUAGAUUCUAGGACCCCUAAUGAGAUGAGAUUUUUCUUCAAGCUAGGUAUGUAGCAAACAUCUGUCAAGACUUGAAUUGAGCCGUCGUGAUUCUUCAAUUGGAUUGUACCUACUCCCAUUGUCUAACAAGCACUGUCAUUGCCCAUAAAAACAACUCUGCCUUCUAGUUCUUUAAGACUAGAAAACCAGUCCUUAUUAGGACACAUAUGAUAAGUACAUCCCGAAUCCAAAAUCCACUCAUCUGUAUGACAUGCCAUUGUCAUGCCAACCAAGGUAAAGUCUGACUCCUCAUCAUGCUCCGCUACACAUGCAUCAGAAAUAGCCUUGCCCUUUUGUAACUUAGGACAAUUCUUUUUCCAAUGCCCUUUCUCACGAAAAAAAGCACAUUCAUCUUUGGCAGGUCUCCCUUUGGACUUACUCCUUCUACCAGAUUUGUUGCUGUGCGAAUGUCCUCUUACUGUUAAGACUUUUGUAGUUGUAUCUCUGUGAUCUUUUUUAUCUUUCUUUCGAGUCUCAGAUCUAUACAACGCACUACAGACUGCAUCAAUUGUGAUCGUAUCCUUCCCAUGAAGCAAUGUGGUGGUAAGAUGAUCAUAUUCAUCAGGAAGAGAAUUCAACAACAGUACUGCCUUGUCUUCAUCUUCAAAUUUCUCAUCCAAAUUUAACAAGUCUGCUAAAAUUUUAUUGAAUGAGUUCACAUGGUCAUUCAUCGACAUACCGGGUGCAUACGUGAAUUGAUAAAGUUUCUUUUUCAUAUAAAGCCUAUUUUCAAGACUUUUUGUUAGAAACUUUUCUUCCAGUGUAUCCCACAACUUCUUCGCUAAUGUCUCCCUCAUGACAGAGUACUUCUGCUCUUUGGCCAAACAUAGGUGAAUUGUUCCACAUGCCUGUCUAUUGAUCUUAGCCCACUCCUUGUCAUCCAUCUUGCCAGUUUUUUUUUCAAGGGCUAUAUCCAUCUCUUGCUGACAUAAGACAUCCAGGAUCUCACAUUGCCACAUACCAAAAUUAUUGGGACCAUCAAAUUUCUCUACUUCAAAUUUUGUAUUGGUCACAGUAGUCUUUGCUGAUGAUGAUACCUUUUCCAUUUUUCUCCUCAAUCCCAACUACUGUACGUGAACAGUGCCGUGAACGAUUGUAUUCCCCAAGUACGAAUCUAGCUCUGAUACCAAUUGUUGUGCGAAAGCGUGUAAAAGAGUAAAAUUAUUGUACUAAAAAAUCACACUAAGUUCAAUUCUCAGGAAAGAGAGGUGGAUCACAAGGAUCGCUUAAGUACCAAGUCUUUCCUAGCUAGAAUAUUCCUCAAUCGUAAUUAAUAGCACAAUAAAUCACUACAAUCACACUCAUAAUUUAUGCAGAAUAAUACAAUAAAGAACACAAGAAUUUAACGAGGUUCAGCAAAUUUUGCCUACGUCCUCGAGCACUACCAAAUAUAUUUCACUCCAAAAUACAAGUGAGAAUUUACAAAGAGAGAGAGAGAGAGAGAACAAUGCCUUAAGUAGGGAAUGUAAAAUAUGAGAUACAGAAUGAGAGAUGGUCAUGUCUAUUUAUAGUUGAGGUUCAGGGAUCAACUUGCAAAGUCACUUUACAAUUAGGGACCAAAUAUUGCAAAUAUCUCAGAUUUCUUAUGCCAAUAUCUCGAUACCCAUAUCUUUGACUUUCCAUAAAUAUGGAUGAUUUCCAAUAGAAACAAUUUAAAUACAUGCUUACGGACCAUUUAGUAAAAUUUCAAAUAAAACAACGUUGGUAUCCAUACAAAAUAUCAAUUAUCGAUAUUUUGUAAAGUAAGUAUCGAUGCUAAUAAGAAAAACGAUACCAAAUUUUGAUUCCAGACAUUUUAUCGAUACUCAGACAUAGGUAUCGGUAUUUUUACCCCGAAUAUCUAUACUCAUGAAACAUUAUCGAUAUCUAAUUGAUCUUUUUUUUCCUGCACAUUCGUUCCAACACUGAGGUGUUGAUACUUAAGUCCUAAAUAUCGAUUCCUUUGUACAAAUCAAUAAAAAAAACACUGCAAAAUAGAUAAGUAUUCAUGCUUAAACAAAUAUCUUUCUCACAUGCAUUCCAAAUCAAAAUCUUAUACAUCCAAUUACCCAUAAAAAAACGUCCAAAAACCAUAAUAGAAUGAAUAAGCAAUGAUAGUAAACAACCAAAGCUCGAGAAGUCCAAAAUCAUAGUAAACCAACAAAAAUAAUAAUAACCAGCCAAAAUUCUAACAUAUUGGCUUUAUUCCAAAAGUUCAAAAGAAUAAUAAAACCACCUACUCAAAUUACUAUUGCCUAACUUGGAUCACUUCCUUGGUGAUAACUCUUCAAAAAAGUUAUAUUUAAGGCCUCUAAAUAAAAUUAAUUAGUUGUAAUUAAGUGAAUACAUUUUCAUUUUUAGGAUAUUUUUAGAACAUUGAAUAACAAAGCUUGGAUUGUGAUAUAAUGGUUAUUAUUUGUUACUUUUAUCACUUGGGGAGGAAAGGUGUGGUUUUGUGUGAAUAUAGGUGUAGGAAGAGCAAGAAGAUGAAAAUGGAAAUAAAGAAAGUGAAACAUUGCCAUAGCAAUUGCUAAGAUUGAUUACCAACAUAAUUUCCAUGGCAAUUCCGAAAAGAUGACUCAGGACUCUAUCCACGUCACUCAUAGUCAACUGGACGUGUACCAGAAAACCAACCUAAAAAGAGGAAUGAAAAAUGUGCGCUAAGGUGGGACAAAUCUACCCAAUAAAAGGAGAGAGAAGAAGAAAAAAAAGGGAGGCGAAUUCGUGUGGGAAAGAGAUUGGGGACAGCAAUCCUCUCUCUGCACAAAGAAAAAAUCCAUUGGAGAAUUUCAGAGAAAGAAAGGGUAGCAGCUAAAGAGAGUAGAAUACAUACGUAAAGAAGGGGAAGAGACGUUUAUCCUAGAUUCACAUACGAUCGGAAGAUAAAAGAGAAGUUGGAGUGUGGCGAGAAAUCCUGCAGUUCUUCCUUUAGUUUUCCUGAUUUCUGUGAUUCAAAAUUCUUUAAAUGUUGAUGAAUGAUUUAAAUCUGGUGUUUACCUUUCCACCCUUGAACUAAAUCUUUUUUGGGUUGGAGUUAUUUGGGUGAAUGUUUAUCAUCUUUAAUGCUUAUGAUUUGAGAUUGCCUAUAUCACUAUUUCAUUCAAUUUAUGCUUAUGUUAAAUAAAUGCGUGCAAGCUCUAGACAUAGUUGAUUGUAUGUUUUGUUCAUAGAUGUAUUUUUAAUUCUAAAAAGGUUAAAUAUACUGGAUCUAGAAUAGUUUGAUGCAAGUGAAUAUUUGACAGAAUAUUCGUAGCACUCAAGACAUAGAUGUUGCGAUUUGUGCAGAGAAAAACAAUCAUUGCAGUUAUUAAUCCAAAGGUCUGUAGACAUACAAUAACUUAGAUUUUUAACUUAAAAUCUAGCUAUCGAAAGAGGCAAGUUAUAAUAGUAACUCUCUGAGCAGUUGAUUACACAAUAUUUUUCCAUGACAUUAUUUUGAUAUGAGCAUUUCACCUAAAUAAUUCCAGCCCUAUUCAUUCAACAACAUAAUUACACUUACUUUUCUCUGUAAUUUGCCAAUACAUUUUAUUUGCCAUAUCAAGUCUUUGUUUUUAACAUUAAAUUACAUUAAUUCAUUACACCAACACCUUAUUCAAUUGAAGAGUAUUUCCUACUAUUUAGUAUAGUUAAUAAGAUUAUAAUAACUUAAUCAAUCUCUUACCAAUUUACGAUCCCUAUUGAGAUGAUACUUCCUAAUUACUUUAUUACUUGAAUGACGUGUACACUUGCACAAUUGCAUUAGUUAUUUACAUGCAACACCUGGUCGCACCGCUCAUACCAAAAAUGCUAACAAUCUACAAGGAUUUAGUAAGGAGUGUAUGAACUUAAACAGGCUCAGUGAAUGCUCAGAAUUACCGUAAAUGUACACAAUAUCAUACGUUAAACAAAAGAAACUAAAGCACAAUCACAACUAUAUUUAAUUACACCAUGAAGCCAACAAAGUCACACUUCAUUUAUCUUAUUGGUCUAACUUAUGUACUCACAAGCAUAUACAUACAACAUACUCCAUAUACAAUUCAUUAAGUGAUAAUUUGGAAAGUUGGGACUAUGAAACGUAAAGGUGGGCUUUAUCACCACACAUUGGAUACACAGAUCUCCAACACACUAAUGACUCAAAGAGUCUAACAUAUCGCAUAAGUGUAGCAUCAAGCUAACACUCUUCAACACACCAACAUAUCCCAAUGAAUGUAGCUUAGCUCACAUUCCCUUAUCUCUCCAAACUGUCCUGGGCUUCAAUGCCCCAAAUCACAACACAAGAGUGAGUACUCACAAAUCUUAUGGCAUGCCAACUAUAUCCAACGGUCUCAAGAGAUUAUAAGGCCAAAAUAUCCACAAUUAUACACAUAUUUACUUACCGUUUUCUGUACAUUUUCACUGCUCAUUAAAAAUCAUACACACAACACUAUCACUUCCAUAUAACAUGCUUACCAUGCUCUCUAUUGUUGCACUCACAACUGCUAGCAUAUUGCUCAAUGAACUAUAACCACAAUAAAUCACAUAUACAUUCAUAAAACUAGUAGUUCCAUUUAACAUAUUAACACAAUCACAUAAUUAGAAUUUUGCAAAAUACACAAAAAGAGUAAGAAGGCUUACACUCAGAACUUAGGAUAGGGGUUUAGGCUACUCCUAAGCUUCCAUUUAACACUAUGAAUCGUGUCUACAAGCAACGAUUCCAAAACACUCACUGAUCAUACUUUUGCUUGUUUGUCGAAAGUUCAAACUAGCUUUCCUUGCCUUUUAUCUUACUCGAAGAGGGUUCCAACAAUUCUAAGUCUUCUUAAUAUCAACCACACAACAUAUAAAUAAAAUUAACAACCAAUAACACACCUCAAAUCAAACAAAAAUGUUGGUUUAAAAUAACUCCUCUUCGAAUAGAAUUUUCUUACUAGCUUAGCAAAACCUCAAUUAUCUUAAUCCAAAUUCAUUCCUAUCACUUAAAAUCAAUUCUAAACAUUUAAUUAUUCAAUAAAGAAGGACUCUCAACCCUCAAAACACUUAAGACUCCACAAACUUAUGGUUCCAAAAAUUUUGAUAUCCAUGGCUAUUUUUAAUGAAAACUCAACAUACCCUUCAAAUCUUUUAACAAAAGUUUAAAACGAGUUUAAAAACCUUUUAAUCUAAUAAAAACAAGAUGAAAGACACUUAGAACCAAUAUUUUAAUUGGAAAACUCAGAUUCCUCCAUUAAAGAUCCCAGUUUCGGUUAAAACAUGAAUUUCUUUUUACAACCAAUCAAAGCUUGAUAUAAAAAGGUAGAAUAUAUCAAAACUUAAUAAGAAACAAAACUUUACCUCGAUCGAGAAGAAGAACGAACAAAAGAUUGAAUUUCAGAAAAUUUGUUUGGAAAUCGAAUGAGGAAAUUUAUAAUAUUUUUUGGGUUUUCUUAAAAUUAGGAGAGAUUUCAGAAUUUGGGAGAUCAGAAAAUCACAAGGGUUAGGUUUAAUUAGAGAGCAAAUAAGUAGUUUUAGGGUUUAGGGAAAUUUAUUUUUGAAUGAUGACAAAGGGGAUGGAAAGAUGUGAAUGGCUGAAAUUUUGAAAGCCAAAUAGCAAAAAUUGAACUUUUUGCCCUUUUAGCCACUCCCAACUUUUCCCUUUUCCAAAUAGGUCCUAAAUUAAUUAAAAAUCAUUUUCUCCAAAUUAGACCUUAAAAUUGAAUUUUUUUAGCUAAACAAUAAAAUUAAAACUUGAAUAUGUAACUUUAAAUUCUUUAAUUACUCACUUUUGACCCUAAUUUUCGAUAUUUGACACACCCUUCGGGUUAGUAACUUGAUUCUACUAACCUAAUUUUUGGGGUCUAAUAAAAAGUCUACUUUAUGGUCCAAUUUUGGUGGGUGAAAAUAUAUAUGAGGUAAAAUUAGAGAGUUCUCUAAUGAGAAAAGAAAAUGAAAAGCAAGAAAAUACCCAUGCAAAAGUGAGGAAUGAUUAUCUUUUAACUAAUCAUAAAUCAAAUUUGUUCAGUGGUAUUUCUUUAUUACAGGAUUUAAAGACUUCGUUGAUAGACUUCUAAUUACAUUACUCUACCAUUGAUAGAAGAUUUUACUUGUGGGAAAGAGCUAAGUUAAACAUUUAUAAUUCCCCUCAAGUUCUACAAGGUAACAAAGGUAAGGAAACAUUAGAAAUUGAUUUAAUAAGGCAUACCUUGAAUGUUCUUUUUGUAAGUAUGCUAUUGAUUUUGUUUGUAAAAUACUUCCUUACAACAUGCUUUCUCAUUGGUCAAAUUUUAUUAAACCUUGGUCUGAAAGUUCAAUUGAUUUUUUAGGUUUAUCUAGUUUUGUAAAUGUUAAAAAUAGUAAUUUUGUUGCAUUAGAUAGGGUUAUUAAAGCAUUUUAUACUUUUUUUCUUGCAAAAAAAUUUUCUAUCUUGACCUUUAAUGAUGAUUUUUUUCAUAAUAAUAUUAACCUUCUUGAUUUUUAUUGUUAUGUGAAAUUCUUGACUCAUUGUUGGAAAUUCUUAUGGAUGACCAUGCAUAUUCAAAGAAUGUUAUAGGUUAUUUUUUACCUGAACACUCACGUGCCUAACAUUUCUUUGUUUAGUGUUAACUGUUUGUUUUUGAAAAAGUGAUACUUGAUCCAUGUUAAUUUAGGGGAUCAAAAUCACAUCUUUGAUCCUAGAUAUAGUUUUGGUGCACAAGAAAAAAACUUAGAUAAGUAUUUGUUUGCUUUUAUUGUUACUAAUUCUAAUCCUUUUCUGUUUCUACAGCUAAAUAUUCGAGGAUGAAUCUUCUUGAGGAAUGGGAGAAUGAUGCGAGUCUCAAGGCCCAAUUUCAGGCCCAUGGAUGUGAUGGGUUUACACUACCUUAAGGUCUAAUGACAAGGUCAAAGGCCAAGCAAAUCAAACCAAGUCUAGGUCAAAGACAAUAUGUGAGGAUAAAACUUUUUGAGGAAUGAGUGAAUGAUACAUGUAUGGAAUGGGUGGUAUUUAUUAAAGUCAAUUCAAUCAAAUUUCCAUUUUCAAGCAAAAAAGAUUAGUCAACUUGCGAUGAAUUUUUGGAUUGGGUUCUAACAUUUAUGGGCUUAGAUGUCUGAAUAGUGGCUAAAGAGCUACCCCUUAGCUUCGAGACACAUUUUGAAUCACUCACUUUCAAGUUUGGGAUCUCAAGUAAUGAUCGUUUUAGUGAAGACUGCAUGAGCAGAAUUUUUGGACGGGAUUAUUAUAAAAAUUACAAGUUUCGGGCUUUUUAUUCGGUAAAUCAUAUUGGGUUCGAGCUUUAGGCUUAAUUUUUAUUAUAUACAAGUCCAAUAUUCUAUUUAUUAAGUUUUAUUAUUUAUUUAUUCUGAAUAUUAGAUAUUUUUAAGUAUUUUAAGCUAUUUAGGAGUUUUAUGCUAAUAAAAAGUUUAGUUUAAAACUAUUUCUUGUUUAGGGUAAUUUGAGUUUCAAUAUACUUAUGAUUUUUAUUUAAAUGUACUUAGCUAACUUAGAUAAAGGUCUUUUAAUUGUACACAAAUCAAAUCAUUAUUAUUCAACAAUCAAUUUAUUCAUUAUUCACAUUGAGUUAAUAAAAUUCUCUUUAAGUUUUCUUUUAGAAGAGUUUUAACAAUUUUUCUCAGAUUGUGGGGAUUAUCUUCAAGCUUUUUGUUAAAAUAAGCCUUAUUGGAUAAUAUGUUUUGAUAUAACAAAUUAAAGUGUUUUUGAAUAAAAAUAAAGUUGAGCAAUUUGAUAAAAUCAAGUUGAAAUGGUUUCAAUUGAGUUAAACAUUUUAAAAAAUGUUUUAACCAUUUUCAAACAAGUUAGAAUUGCUCCAAGACAAAUUGACAUUCUUUUUGUUUCAAACCCUGGUAGGUAUCAAUCCAGUAUCGAUACUUUUCUUAUGGUAUCGAUAUAUUUCCUAAGGUAUCGAUACUCCUGCUCCAACGAUCAUUAAAAUCUGAAUUAAUUACAAAAAAUAUCCAUACCCUUUUUAUUAGGUAUCGAUAUUCAUUCAUGCAGGUGCAGUUAAUGACCUAGUAUUUCAUCCUCAAAAGAUAUAUUCACUUCCACAACAACCACAACGGUUGGAAAUCAAUUAGAGGGUAUAAAUAUCAUCUUCCAAAGGUCUAGCAACAAGAAGAGCAAUGUGCAAAGCUUAUAGAUAAAUCGAAACAACCUAGAGCUUAAAUCUUUCAUACCUUUUCUUGUAGGCACUUGUGAGCUUUCAUUGUAUUCAUUUAGCUCAAGUGCUCUUCUUUGUAUUUGUUUAAUUGGAAAACAUCUUAAUCUUGUGAGUAUUGUUUUCUUUGUUUGCUUAUUUGUAUCUCUUUUGAGAGAGGGAUUAUUCUUAAUGUUUGGGUAAAAACCUUAAGGGAGUUGUAUCUUAAGAUUUUGGGGUAUAAGUCUUAAAAAAGAUUAUAAGGUUAAACAUUGUCCUCAAAGAUUGCCAAAUUAGUGAGUUUGGAAAAAUUCUUAGUUAUGGAAAGCUAAGGUAGUGAAGUAGGCAAUUGGGGUCGAACCACUAUAAAUCCUUUUGUCCUUUGUUCCAAAAUUUUUGUUGCUUCCACUGCAACUUCUUAAAGGUCGAUUCAACCUCCCUAUCAUUGAUCUUGAGUUGAUCCUUCUGAGCUAACAAUUAGUAUCAGAGCUAGUCUCUAAAGAUGGUUUAAAAACCAAAAGAUGAUCCUUGAAGAAGCUCAAACGACCAUCAACUCAUUCUACAAAAUGAUGUCCACUUUCGAGCCAAAUUCCACCAUAUUGGGAGAAGGACAUUCCACCAUAAGGCCUCCUCUAUUCAAUGGCUCCAACUACUCAGAUUGGAGAAUAAGAAUGAAGCUAUUCAUCCAAGCCAACGACUGUGAUGUUUGGAGGAUAAUUACAAAUGGGUCAUUCAUUCCUAUGAAAAGGGUCAAAGGUGUUAUUUUCCCAAAUGAAGAGAGUGAAUGGGACAAGUAGAGUACAUUAGUCUCCUUGUGCAACAAUGCCAAAGAAAUACGGGACAAGCUUGAAGUCACCCAUAAAGGGACAAGUAGAGUUAAGGAGUCCAAGAUAAGUCUUCUCACCCUUGAUUAUGAAUUGUUUAAAGCAAAACUGGAAGAAGGAAUUAAGGAGAUGUCCGAUCGCUUCACCGAUAUCAUCAAUGGUCUCAAAGCCCUUGGGAAGAUCUAUCCCAACAAGGAGAUGGUGAAAAAGAUGUUGAAUAGUCUCCCAACGUCUUAGAAAGCUAAAGUGAUGGCAAUAGAGGAAUCAAAGGAUCUCAACUCACUCUCCUUUGAUGAUUUUAUUGGUUCUUUGCUUACAUAUGAGAUGAGGCUUAACAAAGGGAGUGAAGAAGAAAGAAUUAUGAAAAAGAAUGUUGGUAAAGCUCUAAAACCCACCACUAAUAACAAUAGUGAAUCAAGUGAAGAGGUGGAUAAAGAUAAAGAGAUGGAGAUAUUUGUUAGAAGAUUCAAGAGAUUCAUGUGGUCCAACAAAGGAAGAGAAUUUCAAAUGAAGGAAAGACUCAAACUUGAAUCUACCAAGGAGAAAAAUCCCAUGAUUUGCUAUGAGUGCAAAAAACCAAGACAUAUCAAGUAUGAUUGUCCUCAACUUACAAAGGAUGGGUCUAGCAAACAAAAGGCCUAUGUUGUUGCUUGGAGUGAUGAAAACUCAUCCGAUGAUGAAGUAACCAACUUAUGUCUUAUGGCCAUCAAUGAUCCUAAGGUAACUUCUAACUCAUCUACUUUAAAUGAUUAUUCCUUUGAUGAGUUGCAAGAUGCCUAUGAUGAAUUGGGUUUGGAAUUUGAAGUCAUGAUGUUAAAACACAAGAAAAAUGUUUCAAAAUUACGAAAUGAAAUGACUUACUUUCCAAAACUAAUUAUGAAGUUGAAGAGAAAGUAAACAAAAAAAAGCAAGAAAUUAUUAAUGACUUUGAAAAGAAAAUUUUAAACUUGCAUAAUUUACUUUCAAAAGUUCAUGAGGAUCAUCAAAAGCAACUUGAGUUGCUUAAGAAUGAAAAAAGCUCGCUCUAUCAAAGUUUUUUGGAAAAGGAGAAAAUUCAAAACAAACAAUUUGUUAAAAAUAGUUUUAAUUACUAUAAACAUAAAGGUCCCUCAAUAUUUUAUAAGGGAAAACUUAUUAAGAGUGUAUGGGUCCCUAAAGGACUUAGUGUUACUCAAGACAAGGAAACUCUUUCAAAAUAGAUACUUAAAAGGACUAAGAUUUUGAAGACUAAUGAUUAUGGACCCAAAAGAUAUUGGGUACCAAAAACUUAAUUCUAUGUUUGUAGGUAAGGUGCAUUGCUUCAAGGAGAUAAAAGGAAAAUUUUAUUUGAUUGUACCUUAAUGUUGAUUGGUAUGGUAGUUCAUUAGUUCUUUAUGCUUAAUAUCUAUCUUUGAACUAACCACUUUCUUUUCCUCAUGGGAGCUUUAUUAUUUACUUUUUUAUAUAUAACAAAAAGGGGGAGAAGAGAAAAGAAAAUUUUAAUGGUUAAUUGAUUACUUAUAUGCCAAGAAUAGUGACCAAAUUUUUAAAUCAAAAUGAAUGUCAAAUUUGUACUUAUUUAAAAUAUUUAUGCUCCAAAUAUUAAAGCCUUAAAUUGAAAAUGAUUUUUAUAUAGGGAGAGCUUAAAUUGAAAAUGACUUUUACUAAAAGGGAGGUAUAACAGUCUGUUUUUUAGUGGUGUCAAAAAUAGUGGUUUUGGGGCCACAAAUCUUACAAGUAAGUUCGUAAAUGUUAUUAUUUAAUAUUUAUGAUUCAAAUAUGGACUUAAAAAGGUUUUUAAUUUGGUAAUUUAUUUUAUAUAAAUGAUUAAUUAAGUUCAAGCGGUAAGACCUUAAAGUCAAGUGGUUUUAGAAAAUGAGGUAUCGGGACCUUAUUUAUAUAAAAAGAGUCGUAAAUAUUUUUAUAAAUAUUUAUGAAGUGUUAUUAAGGUUUAAUUAAAGUUUCAUUAAGAAAUUUUAAUCUUUAAAAGGUUAAUUAGGUGAAAGGACUAUAUUGAAAAAUGUGCAAAACUUGAAUAUUAUUAGUUAAAUGGAUCUAAUAGCUAUGGAAAGAUAAAUUCAUGGACUUGGAUGGUAAUUAUACCAUAUUUAAUGUGAGUGGAUAUUCAUAAGAAGGUUUUAUGGUAAAUCUUAUAAAUUUUAAAGGUUAUAAUAGUAAUUUUUAAUAUAAACUAAAAUAACUUAACCUUAAAUUAUCAUCUUCUUCAUUCUUUAAUUACUUUAACGAAAUGGCUAUGGUGAGUGAAGGAAAACCAUUCAGCCAAUUUAUUUUGGGGUGCUUGGUAAGCUAUUUUCACCCAUUUCAUUUAAUUUUUAUGUUUUUGAGAUCAUUGCAAAUAGGUCCAGCUAGCUCGUACCUUCGAUUUUGAAGCUGUUAAAGAUUUUGAAUGUUGUCAUUGAUGAAUCUAGUAAUUUUUUAUGUUAAAUUAUGAAUUUGAGAUAUUUAGUCACAACAAAUGGGCUAUAUUGGAUGUCAUGAAUAUUCGGUUGACAUGGGUUUGCAUUAAAAAUGGUUAAUUUGCAUGUUUUAGGCUUAGGGGCUAAAUUGAAUAAAAGUAAAAUGUUAAGGGCAAUUUUGUUAAAAUGUCAAAAAUUACUAAAUUGCAUAAAUAAUUUUUUUUACUAUCUAAAUUAAUAAAUUUAAUGAAAUUAUUAAUUUAGAUCAAGAUCGAGUAGAAAAUCGAGGAGAUGAAAAUUACCAAAAUGCCCCUAUACUUUGACAUUUCUGCAAUUUAGCUAGGUAAGUUCGUAUUGUUUAGAAUUUAACAUCAUUAUGAAUUGUUGAGUAGAUUAACAUGGUACA